CUUUGUUUGGCAAGUUAUUGCCGACGUUUCGUCCCCAAUUUCUCCAAAAUUGCGAAGCCUUUGACCGACCUUCUCAAGAAAGACAAGAAGUUUGUUUGGACUUCUCAGUGCGAAGAGGGCUUUAAACUUUUGAAGGAAAAACUCACUACACCUCCAAUUUUGGCUCCUCCAGAUACUACUCAACCUUUCCAAAUCUAUUGCGAUGCAUCUCGCCAAGGUCUAGGCGCUGUCCUUUUCCAAGAUGGGAAAGUUGUGGCAUAUGUGUCUCGCCAACUUUGUCCAAAUGAACUCAACUAUCCCACGCAUGAUCUUGAACCGCCAACUUUGUCCAAAUGAACUCAACUAUCCCACGCAUGAUCUUGAACUCGCUGCAGUUGUUUUUGCAACAAAAACAUGGCGGCAUUAUCUUGCUGGUGUAUCUUGUGAGAUCUUGAAGCGACCGCCCCCUUACAAGGGUUCGAUCCCUGUGCUUUAGUGCUAGUCCCUGGAUCGACUCACUAGCACACACAGUUUCAAGAUGAAAUAUCAUAGAACAAAGGUCUCAAUAUUACAACGUAUCAUCCAGAAUUUAAAAGAUACUUACAACUCGCAUAACCUUACGGGUUAGCUGGAAAUAAAGCAACUGUUUAGCAGCGGAAAACGGAAGAUACAAGGGCACAUCAACACCACGGUGAGAGCGUGUCGGAAUGUAGGUCCGUAACCCAAAUGUGUAUGUUUGCCUGAUUGUAUAGUUUUCUCGGAGAGCGAACUGUGUGACUGUGAAAAGUGUUUGAAUACCAACUAUUAUCAAGGCAAGUUCACUUUGAUCAUUAUCCUAUUAUUUCAUUAUGCACUAGAUUUUAUUAGUUGCAUUGUUAGGAUUAUUAUUGUAUCUAUGCUAUGCUAUGAUUUCCCUAGUAGUAUAGGAUACCUUUGCCAUGAUCUUACCACCAAUUGCCAUCGUAGUAGUAAAUUGCUAUGCUAUGCUAAUAUACGAGGGUGGUAUUAUUACAAUGUGAUACUAUUGAAUUACAAUAUGAUUUUCCUAGUGUAUGGCAAAACAAGUAAUUCAAUGAAUCAUCCUGGGUGGGCUGCUUUGAGUUUUCGGAUGUCGUGACGUUAGGUCCAUUUCUAUGGGGCCCGCUGAGUCGUCUCUCCGUGUGAUUCGGGAGCGUCCAUGGUCGUCUCCCCGUGCGAUUCGGGGAGCGCCUGCGUCACAAUGUGGGAUGCCACCCGGGGUAACCAGAGACUGGACUAGUUUCCUGUUUAGUAGCUUCCAGUACAACCACAUGGUAUUAUGGGCUCUGCCAGGAUGGAUGUAAGAAAUAUGAACCUGGAUCCGAGGUGACAUCGGUAUGUAGCAGUGUAGGUUGGAACGCGUCCCUCAGGUGGUUUGGGGGAAUAUGUUCUGAAAAUUCCUGUAAUCGAUGCCGUUGCUGCUCUACCCUGAGGACAGCAAGGGAUUAACACAUCGAUUUCUUGUGGGUAAAGUGUACCACCUCUCGAGAGUGUCAAACUGAGUACUUAGCCAUGUCCCCGGUUACGGACAAUUAUGAGCAACUAGACAUCGGAGCUGUAAGGAAAGUCUCACUCAUUCAAAUUUCCUAAUAAAAUGAAUGGUUUGAACUGGGUAGGAGCAUUGAUGUUUCUACUCAAUGUGCCUAGGAUAAUGGGAGCAUGGGUGUUUCUACCCCGUGUCCAAUAGAAUUCAAAACUAUUUGUCUAAAAAUGAUAAGAUUUGAAUAAUGAUGUUUUUAUGCAAAAUAGCCAACCCCCCCCCCCCUUAGCCAAACUAUGCAUAUACUUGGUAGGUCCUUUAUAACUCUAGUGAGCUUGCCACUACAUUCAAAUGUAUUGACCACGUAGUGGCUGCAAUUAAUAAUGCAGGUGGAUCCGACGAUGAGUGAGGUUCGUCGUUUUGUCAUGGGUCAUGUGCUUACAUUCCAACAUGCUCUCACCUUGGAGUAGUGUGGCCCUUAUGUUCUACCCUUUUUCCGCUGCAGUAUUUUGAAACGUUGUCUUAUGAUGAUGAACCAGUAUUUGUUUAUGCUGGCCCAAGAGGUCAUGAGAGGUUGUAAGUACUAUUUAAAUUCUGGAUGAUGCGAUGUAAUAAAGUACUUUUGACCUUUGUUUCUGUAUACUUCAUCAUGAAACUGUGUGUACUAGUGAGUCGAUCCAGGGACUAGCACAGUAAGCACAGAGAUCGAACCCUUGGUGAAGGGGGAUCGCUUCAGCCAUGCCGUGCUGCUUCGACUCUACCACUUCCCGAGCCUGCAGCCUCGCCAGAACACGCCGCGCCGCCGCCCCGAGCUGUCGCCGCCGCUCACCGGAACCCUAGGGUUCCCGCAGGUGACCCCGAACGCCCUCAGCCGUUGGAUCUCAGCCAACGGCCGAGAUUAAAACGAUUUAAUUCUUUUAAGCGAACCGGUAUUGUCCAAUGAGAUUGCGCCAUGUGUCAUGGUUUUUAAUAAAAACUUAAUCCCUCACUAAAUGGCAGUUUUGCAGAAAAGCCCAUAUAACUUCAAAUGCUUAUAACUUUUAAACCCUUUGGCCAAAUUUGACAAAUUUUACCUUUCUGGAAAGCUCUUGACUUGUAUAAUCUUUUUGCACUAUUUAAAUUUAAAUUUGAAUAAUUGAACCAUUUAAAUUUGUAUAAUCUUUUAGCACUGUUUUAAUUGAAAGCAGUGCCCAAAAAUUUGUUUCAAUGUCCUCUGUCCAUUGGGACAGAGAAAUAAAAUCUUUGAAUUAAAUUAAUUGGCUGAUGCCAAUAAAACCUUAUAUUAGGGUUUUAAUCCUAGUUUUUGCAUUAUGUUUUUAAACCUAAUGCAUUAAUUUUAAUUGCUAACGCUUUGCCAUGAGCCAUGUUGAAGGCCUGAUCGUUGCCAAGAAUCAGGCUGAGGAAUGGGAGAGGAACCGCAGCGAGUGUGUUGCCAGGCGAUUAGAAGAAGAAGACCGUGCUGAGAAGAAACGUGUUUAGAAGGAGAAGGCAGAAGCUGCCUUGAAAGAGAAGAAAGCUGCUGAACUGCAGAAGAAGAAGGCUGAGAAGGAAGCCGAAGAAAAGAAAAGGGCUGACCUCAUCGCCCUGAAGAAAGAAAAAGAACUUGCGUUGAAAACUCAAGCUGAGCUUGACAAGAAGAAGAAGAAGGCUCUGCUCGCUGAGCAGAUGAAACAAGCAGCCGAAAGACUGAAGGCUGAUAAGGCUAAGAGUAAAGCAAGGAAGAAAGCCGCCGAGAAAACGCCUGAAAUACAGGGCGGAAAUGAAGAAGUUGAUCGGGAGAAGACAUAGAAUGAGAAGACGAGAGAUGCAGCUCGUGAGACCCGUCGUGGGAUUGUUCUCAAGGCCAGACAUGAUCCAGCUGCCCCCUCUGACACUGAAGAAAGUCAGGAUGUACCAUCAACUGUUCUGUCUCCGAAGAUCACCAUGACCACCAAGGCGUGUAAAAUCGCUGAAGUGAAGAAGACUGCCAAGGAGUUUGGUCUGAAGAUCAAAGUUCCUGCUGGAAGAAGUUCCUCCACUUCAUCAUUUGCGGCAGCUCCUCUGAAGAAAGCUAUUGACACACUUGUGCCAGAUACAUCAACAAUCAAGCUUACUUCACUUGCUGAGGAACAGGAACAAGCUGCUUCAUCUCCCACAGUACUACCCGAGCACACCGCUCAACAGGAAGAAGGAGAUGAGGUGUUGGGGAAGAACCAAGAAGACCUCAACUGUCCUGAAGAACCCCCCAACAGUAGCUCGUUGCCUCGCACUGAAUCAGUGGAUGCCUCUGCUGAAGAAGGAAGAACUUGUGAUUUCGAAGCUGAAGCCACUCGUGAUUUGCAUGCCAAUGAUGUAGAAACUGAUGCAGAUGCCCCACUGCCAACGCCGGAAGUUCGUGUGAAGAAAGUUGUUAAGAAGAAGAAGAAGAAUGUUGCCCCGUCCGACCCGUCAGACCCGUCCGACCCAAAUUCCUCAAGUGAUGAGGAGAAAGAAGAAGAGAAGGAAGAAGAGAAGAAGGAAGAAGAGAAAGACCCCGCGAAAGUAUCUAAUGAUCUAAUGGAGAUUGACCAUCUGCCAGAAGAUCUGUUGAAGCCUGCGCCGAAGAAGAGACGAUCCGGAAUUGCCAAGGAUCGUGAAGACAGGAGACUCUCACAGAUGCUUAUGAGAUCUCAAACUAUGUCUGAAGACAACCGCGAGCUGUUGUCUCCCAAGCCAAAGAUGCCUAUAUCCUCUGACCGAGAGAAGGUUUACUUCAAGGCCCUGAAGAAUGCUGAGCUUCGCCUCGUGAGGCUAGAGAAUGGGCUGAAGUACAAGGAGGAGAGAUCAGCUGAAGACCAGAGGUUUUGGUCUUUUGAGCAGCAGGACUACUAUGCGCAGAUUCUUCUUCCAAGGACCCACUUUUCCAAGAUAAAGUACAUCAAUGAUGAAUGGUUCGCCACCAAUCGUCAGAGUGGUGUCAUGACUGCCGCGAAUGCCCUUAACGAUCUGCAUCUGCUCAAGUUUGUUCAGACUUGCCAGAACUCGAAUGAUGAGCUGAUUCUUCAGUUCUAUGCUACAUUCGGCAGAAAGGUCUGCAGAUUUGAAGACAACUCAAAGGGCUACAACAUCUACUGGAUGACAGAUGGUGACAGGCACAGCUGCACCUCCAGGCACUUCAAGGAUUUCCUUGGUCUCGCUGAGUUCGAUGGCCAGCCCAAGAUCCAAGAAGAACAGGCUGCCUCAGAUGAAGACGUCGCCAUUCUCCAUAAAGAAAGAUUCUCUGGCGCCUAUGGAGGACUGGCUGGGUUAAAGCCUGAAGUGAAGAUUCUAAAUGACAUUCUCCGUUUCACUUUCUCUCCCGAGCAUGGCAGCUCCAGCGAGAUAGCCGGUCUUUACCGCAAUCUGCUGCUUGCCGUAUACAAGGGUGAGAAGAAAGAUUUUGGAAACUAUAUUCUUCAGACCAUCACCCAUGCCUCAGCAGACCGUGUGCGUGCCCUGCCCUAUGCACUCCAGAUUAGGAAGAUCAUCCUGCAGUUGUCUGAGAAGCGCUUUGAGUUGGAGCAUCAGCACAAGGACUUCUCGCUGAAGCCUCAAGAUCCAGAGCCGUCUGUGCUUCCUCCUACCUCAAUUUCUGAUCGCCCAGAGUCUUCACAGCCCAUCCCAUCGCAACCGCAGCUGAAGCAAGCACUUCGUCCAUCUGACUCUUAGUAUGAGACCAGCUCCGGCACGGAUGGUUCUUUGAAGAAUCUCAUUGUGAAGCUCUCCCGCAAGAUUGAAGAUCAACAGGAUCUCCAUGAGAAGCAGGCCGCUCUGUUGAAGAAUCAGCAAGUACUCCUCAAGAAGCUGGUGUCACGCGAAGAGAAGACCAGUGGCUUACUUCAAGACUUCCUCGCCAAGCACUACCUCGACGUUCUGAAGCCUGAAGACAGCGAAACUACACCAAACCAGUAAUCUUCAACCAUUUUGGCGACUUGAUGCCAAAGGGGGAGAAGGAGUUAGGGGGAGGUUUCGCUUUAUUUUGCUGAGGGGGAGUUUUGCUUUUUAUUUGGUUCUUCGUCGUCGUCGUCCUAAAAACUUUAAGUCCUAUCGUGUGUGGUUUAAAACUCUUGGUUGUGUUGAAGUACACUUAAUAUUGCCUCUUGCAAGAGGAUUCUGAAAUGCCUGUAAUAAAUUUAAUCUUCAUGCAUUUUCAUUACUCAUGCAUGCAUGUUUACUUCAAUACUUUUUGGUGCUGCAUCUGUUUACUUCAAUUUAUGAGCAUGUAUGAAUUCUUAUUAUUUCUACUCUAACCCUGUACACGAUGCACACCCUUGCUUUGAAGAAUAUGAAGAUUUCCUCACACUCCUAAAGCUCUUUGCACUUGCAUUCAAACGCAAUCUAAAUAGUGCAUAUCUUCAGGGGGAGUCUUCAUAUAACUCAGAAGCUAAAAGCUUCACACUUAAUUUUUCCCAUCUUUGAAGCUUUAACCAAUGUUGUCAUCAAACACCAAAAAGGGGGAGAUUGAAAGGGAAACCUUGCCCCUGUAUGGUUUUGAUGAAUGAUGACAACAUGGUUGAGGAACUAAUGAGUUACACGGAGUGUUUCAGGUUUUAGUUCCUCAAAAGAGUUGGUUUAACCAGCAUCGAUGACCCUAAAAAUUGAAGUAUAGGUACUGGCGUGAAGUAUGAUGAACUCAGUGAAGAACGGUGAAGAACGUGAAGCAUAGCAUUCUUCAUAGGUCUUUCCGUAGCUUUUUCUUUCACUUGGGUAUAGGAACGCCGUACUAUUAAGGGGCGUUUGAAGUGUGGAGCUGGUUAGGUGAAACCUUAUUCUUCAUGUUCAGCUUAGGCGAAAACCCUUUUUUUUUGUGUGGGUGUUUUUCGUCGGAGUGAAGAAUGAAGCAUUUCAGGCUUCACAGAAACUUCCGCGUGAAGUCUUCACUCUGAGUUCAAAUAUGUUUGAAAAUCUGUCGCUUUCUUGCUUGACCACCCAAUCUAACCGUUGUGAGACAAAAUUAUAAAGUGUGAGCUGGAGGCUCAAAGUUCACUUUAACCAACGGGUCACAAUGGCUAGAUCAGCCAUGGACAAGGUUAUAUAAGACGACCCACCCUGAAGGAAUUUGGUGGUGAUCCCGCGUGAGUUGUUUUGAAGAACACCUGAUAAACCCUUAGAGCUGAACUGAGCGUGAAGAAUAGGAUCCCCUCUCUAGCUGAGCACUUGAAGCUUGUUACUCUUGGUGAUUGGCAUCACCUAGACGGCUAGGAGUCAGUGUUGAAGAGCAAUCGAAGAUUGUGAUUUGCCAUCAACCAGUCUGUGAAGGUCCGGAGAUCACCUCAAGAUCUAACACGAAUAACUGGGCGAGACUUCGGUCUUAGCUCAGGAGGAUUGGGUGGACUUGUGUGUCUGCGAGUCUUGUGUGACUCAGCCCCCUCAACGGAGACGUCGGAUUGUGCCAACAAUCUGAACUUCGGAAAUAAAUCCCUGUGUCUUCAGUCUUGGUGAUUUUGUUCCUCAACUUUUGCUCUCUACGAAGUAUAAUUGAUUCUUGUGUUCUGUCUUCAUUGCUGCUGCUAAACCUGUUCAUCUUUCUUUUUUCCGCUGCAACUCUAAAAUUGAUAAGUGUAAUCUAAAUUGUUGAAGUACUGUGACUGUCUUCAGUCUUCAGUCUUCAUUUUGAAGAAAGAAUUAAAACUGGUCACAUUCACCCCCCCCUCUGUGACAUACUCGAUCUUUUAGCAGAGGACUCGGACUCCGACGACUCCUCGCUGGGCGUCGGAGGAGACCUCAGCAACGACGACGAUGACGACGCCGCUCCCCCGGCAGCAGGCGGGGUCGCGCUGGAGGAGGACGACGAGGAAGACCACAUCACCUUGGUGAGGCGGUCCGCGGCGGAGCGGGCGAGCAGGCAGAAGGCCUGCCCGCAGCCUCAGGAGCCUCACGGCGACGUGGGGGCUGGGGCCUCCGCGGGAGCGACGCGGCCGCAGCACCCGUCCCAACCACCCCGGCGGCUCCGCCCGCUCCCCCCGCGCGAAGCGGCCCUUCAACGAGGAGGAUCCUGGCGGACCGGGUGCUCAAGCUCAAAUCGUCAGGGUAAGUUCAAUAUUUUCCAGAACACCUUUGAUUUCAAAAAAAUUUGUGUGCCUGACUAAUCUUGUUUUUGUGCUUUCCAGUUCGUCGAGGAAGAGGGGGCAGACCAGCACGUCGCCGGCAGCCCCAACAAAGAAGGCCCGCCCAGCAUCGGGCGGCGGCGACCGAGAUGCCGUGGGCGCGGCGGGUGUGACGGCGGCAGCGGCCACUGGGGACCCAAGGGUCCCCGAUUCGAGCUCGCAAGGCACCGGCCCAGCGGCAGGUACGUGUGAGUUCCAGCGUUUCUUUUACCCAUUCGUGCCAUCUCCCAUACUUGACGCGGAUGCUCUUCAUGCAGUUGCCGGGGAGGUUCCGGCUGCGCCCGCAUCCACAGAGGUGCGGGUAAUUGACCUCACCGGUGAGGUCGACGACGAUGCUCCGGUGGAGAUUGCCUCCGUCAGAGCCCUUCAGCAAUCGGCCACAGCACCUGCCGAGGCCGCGGCUGCCGCCGCAGGUGUUCCCACUCAGGGAGCGCCGCGGUGCUCUUGCGAAGCCCCCAAGCCCCCAGCCCGCCCCUUCGGACGGGAAAGGAGCAGCAGGGCUCCGCCAGGCCAGGGGCGCGUCGUCAAAUCUCGACGUGCCCUCGGGAUCUCAGAAGGUCGCAGCGAGGUCCUCCUCCUCGGCCGGAGCCGCCUUCAGCCCUGGAGCAGGGGAGCUCACGGGGCAGACAUGGGGCCGGAUUACUUUCAACCCCAGCGUGUUCCAGCAGGGACACCAAGUGAUCAACUACAUCCAGCAGUAGCAGCAGAUGUUCGUCGAUUUCUUUAAUGACGCGCAGCAGCACCACGCCCGCGUGGUAGCGGAACUGGGCGCGUGUCGCACCAGUGGCACCCGGGGUACCACCGCUGCGCGACUCGUGGCCCCCUCCCCCGGGUUCCCGGGAAGGUCUUAUCUCGGGGAGCGCCAACGAGCGUCCCGGCAAGCUACCAGCCCGCAAGGGGCUAGCGGGGCUUCUGGGAAUAUUCCCGCUUAGGCACCUCCUGGGAAGCUGCUUCCCGGGAGGAGGUUCCCGGGCGGGAGGAGGUUCCCGGGCACGCUGGGCCCGGGUGCGUCCCGGGCCGACUUGCGGGGACUGGGGGUUCCCGGACGCGUGCCCCCGCCUCGGGUCGUGGGGCCCACUGGACAGCGCCACACGGGCGCGUGACGGGCGCGGAACGCACGGUCCCACCAAGGCAGGGAGUAAGGCGUGCGGCUCAGUAAACGAGCCGACCGACGGGUAGUUACCCGUCCGAUCCAAGGAACAGUGGUUGUCCAAUCCUACCCUAAGGUCUUAGGCCCCUAGCGGCGGAGGUGGCACCCAUGCAUGCCACCAGCUCACCAGGGAGAGUUGCGUGCCUCCCCGUUGGACACUUGUAGCCCAUGCACCGUGGCACAUGUGGCACCCCCUUGUGUAUAAAAGGAGGACCCAUGCCAACGGUCAAGGGGGUUAGAGGGUUGACGGGUCAGACAGUUGGGAAGAUAGUGAGUUGAUCAGUUGGUUCCAGUAGACAGCCAGCAGAGAGCGGUGAGGAGCGCCUAGCCACUGAGAGAAAGCCCAGGAGCUUUCCCGGCAACCUGUAAACAUUUGGCCCGCAAUCAAUAUCAGCUCAGACAAGCAGUACGUAGGGUUUUACACCUCCAGGUGGCCCGAACCUGGGUAAAAAACGUGCGUGUAUCUGUUCUUGGACUAGCGCGUACCCCUAGCACUUCGUCUCGCCGGCCCUGUAGGGCCUCAUCGGCCAUCCCGACGAUCACCGGGUCUCCACCCCAGACGCCCCUACCGAACCUAAAAGGGGGACGUGGCCGCACGCCCCCGGUGUCGGGGCACCGAGCGACGACAGCGCGGCACGGCGGGAGGCGGAGGAGCAGCGCACCGAGCUGCAGUGGCUCCGGGAGGAGCUCCAGCUGGCGUGGCAUGUCGGGGCAAUGCCUGCUGUGCAAGGGGUGCCAGAGGCGGAAGUUCUGCAGCAGCUGUGGGAUCUCCAGCAAGAGCACCAACGAGAGCUCGAGCUGGUGAAAGCCAGUCACGCCAAAAGCGAGGAAGAGCACCAGGGGCGUCUCCGGGAGAAAACAGACUUACUAUCCAGCUACUCCCUGGAGAUCCAGCGUCUCCGCCGCAAGGUCGGAGAGCUGGAGACGGCGGCUGCAACGGUAGCCGAAGCCUCAACGCGCUGGGAGAAGGAGCUACAGGAUCAGGCUCGCUCCCGGGAGCGUGAGCCUGCGGGGCAGCUCAAGGCUGCCCAAGAUGCCAGCUCGUCCCUUCAGGGCGAGCUCGACAUGGUGCGGCAGGAACUUCGGCUAGUCGACGACGACAACACCAAGAAGGCGUCCGAGAUCGGCAGGCUGAAGUCUGAGUGCCGCAAGCACAAGUUGCAGGCCCAGGAGUCUCACGGUGCGUGCACCGAGCUACGGGCCUGCAAGACAAGGGAGGUGGCCAGGCUGAAGAAGCUGGCGGACUCGGCGGUGGAGGCGCUGCAGGGGUUCGACAUCCCUGUGGCUUCCUUCGAUGGGGCAGACAUGAGGAGCUUCACGUUGUUCUGUGCAGACUUCAUCGGCCGGCUGAGCGGCCUGCAGAGCUGUGUGACGGCCUUCAUGGACCGGCAAGUCGGCCUUGCGGCCGAGCAGGUCGCCGGGCAAAUUCUCACCCGGGUCCACUCUGCCCGUCCCGACUUCCCGUUCGAGUCGGUCUUCGACGCCUGGUCGGACGAGGAAGAGGGCAAGACCCACCGGGAAGCGGUGCAGGGCGUCGUGGACGAGAUGGUGGCGCGGAUGCAGGGCAAGGUCGAUGAAGACGAAGCCGAUGCUGAGGAGGUUGUCGGAGAAGCCCCCAAUACCGAGGAUGCACCUGACACCGACGCAGCCGCCCCAGGAGCACCUCCCGCAUGAUUUCCUUCUCUUUUCUUUUCUGCUUUCCUGCGAGUGGCGCAUGGCACCUUAGAACUUUUGUGUUAGCUUUCCCUUAUCAUCACAAGUGUUACUCGUCAACUCGUUUUGCUCAAGCUUCAAUAUAUCCAAUGCUAUUUUUACUUCCUUCUUUGUCUAAGACUAGCUUGCUGGGGACGGGCUCUGUCCUUCGCGUGUUUUAGCCUUGCUUACCCGGGGACUCGCCAACCGCAUGCUUGGCCAGACAAGGGACCCGGGACGGACCCACGGUGUCGACCUAGGACCAAACAACAGCGGCUAAUCACUCCGCCUGCGGGUUAACUACCCCAGCGCGCACGCCUCCGGGAUGGACCCGCGAGCCACGUGUGGGGGGCGUCCUCACCCCGAAAGCGUCCUUCCUACGCUCUGGCAACACAGGGACCGACCUUACCUCAACAAACGAGCACUACUAAAGGAAGAGCUAAGGACCCAAAACAAAGUACUUACCUUUUCGCUCUCUUUGGACUUGUUGCACUUUGUUGAGAGCCGUGGCAAGGACGUUGUGGCAAUGCACCCUCCAGCGGCAUGCGCGGAGGCAUGCACCACCACAGUGUUUUCACGAUGCCGCUCGCCCACUGCAUCGCCAUUUCUGGUGUUGUUCCAUAAGAGAUGUGGCAGGGCCGUGAUGGUGGGAACACCCUCAGUGACAAGCGCAGAGGGAUGCACCACCGUCGCCUCUCUGCGACAUCUCUUGCUUUCUUGCCCGUUGCUGGUGUUGCACUUGCCCUAGUCUCUUUAAAUAGCCGAAGCGCUGCCCUUGCCUCCACACACGCGGGACCACCAGUUGCCGCGUGGAGGCACUGGGCCUGUCUCAGUUUCCUGCAUCAAGCCUCGAAGUAAUUGUCAUAUAUGUAUAACUUACUUGCAAGACGACGACACCCGUGACCACCCCAUGAGCAUCACCGUGUGCCUUCGCCUCAUCUUUACCCUGCAUAUCAGAUUCCUACAGUGCCCAAGGUGCAUAGCAAAAAAAAAUUGAAAUGCAGGAAAAACAGUAUAAACUGGGUAACCUCCUGCCUCCAUGCCCCGGGCACAGAAGAUUCGACCUCAGACUUGGGUGUGAGCAUCUUUCUAUUCCCAUGGUGCCUUGCUGCCACGUAGCAUGUUGCGAACGGGUCCGGCAACUGCUAGGCCUCGUUCCGGGGCGUCCCGGCAACGAGCUUGGUUUUCGGGGUUCCGGCAACCCCCUGCUCACAGCCAAGGAUGAGGAGACAAUUCUGUGCACAUAGAGCAGGAGACAGAGGCAUUCACAAACAACAAAGCACAAGAUUCAUUGAAGCAACACUUAUCUUUACUAAACUUUGUGCUAGCGGAUUACAAUCGGGCCUUGCCUGGCUACACUAGCUUAAAGAGGCACGCUGCCGUAGCGUCACCCAUGGGUAAGGCUUCACCGUUUCACGGGUAGAACUUGCGCAGGUGCUCAAUGUUCCAACUAUUGGGCACCGGAAAGCCUUCUUCAGUUUCCAGAUUAGAGUCAACUUAUUCCUGGCCUUCGUUCCUUGUAUCCGGCACAGGACGAGGUCUCAAACCUCGAGCCCCCUGGGACGGACUCUCCUGUUGUGAUAACGACGGAGUCCCUGCUGGUAGCCUGCAGCUCACACAGUAGCCCGUCAUCGAAUCUCCUCGAUGAAGGUAAGGUCAUCAAUCCUCUGCAUGUGUUGGCUCUUGUCGCCGUACGCACGUACCCGAGGUGACCCAUACUUGAGCUCGAGGGGCAGCACAGCUUGUGCCCCGUAGACGAGGGUAAACCGAGUUUGACCCGUCGCCCGACUCGGUGUGGUCCGCAUCGACCACAGCACGGGCUGGAGUUCUUCAACCCAGUGUUUCCCGUGGCCCUUGAGCUUGUCAAAGGUUCUCGUUUUGAGCCCCCGCAGCACUUCUCCGUUGGCUCGCUCAACUUGUCUAUUGCUCCUUAGAUGAGCAACAGAAGCAAAGUGAAUCUUAGUGCCCAUGUCCUCGGAGUAAGCUUGGAACAUCGUACUAGUGAAUUGCGUGCCGUUGUCGGUGAUGAUGCCGUUAGGCACACCCAACCGGCACACAAUGCCCUUGAAAAACUUGAUGGCUGCCUGUGCCGUGACGGCUCGGACAGGCUCCACCUCGAUCCACUUCGAGAACUUGUCGAUGGCCACGAGCAGGUACUCGUAGCCACCAACUGCUCUUGGCCACUUGCCGACGAUGUCCAGCCCUAGACCGUGAACGGCCAUGAGGACGGGAUGACUUGCAGGGCUUGCGCUGGUUGGUUGCUCUUCUUGGCGUGAAACUGACACGCUUCACAGGUCUUGACUAAUUGUUCGGCAUCGGCUAGUGCUGUCGGCCAGUAGAAGCCGUGCCUGAACGCUUUCCUAGCUAGUGCUCUGGAGGCCACAUGGUGCGAGCAUGUGCCUCGAUGUAUAUCUUCCAGCAACGCGCGCCCUUCCUCUUGGGGCACACAGAGGAGCAUGACUUCAUUAGGAUGCCUCCGGUAGAGUUCUCCGUCCACCAGGGCAUACAUCUUAGCUUGCCGGGCUACUCGCUCCACGGCAAUGUCUUCCUCCGGGAGGGUCCCGUCCCUGAGGUAGCGAAUAAUAUCGGUCCCCUAGGGUGGUGGCUCCCGGCUAGUGUAUGCCACCAGCUUGGCGGCAUGGUCCCCCGCAACGGCAGGGUCGCCUUGAGUUGCCGGAGGGGCUUCCCUGGCAACUGUCUAGGGGUCGACAGAGGGCUUUGACUGCCUCUGCACGACCACCUCGGGAGGCACCUUGCUGCAUUCCGCUGCCCAUUUGGACAGUUCAUCCGCAACAAAGUUGUCCUUGCGCUUCACGUGCUCAAACCGAAGUCCCUUGAACUUGGACUCCCCUUUUCGCACUUCCUCCACAUACGCUGCCAUCUGGGGCAUUCGUAGUCCUUAUUUACCUGGUUGAUCACGAGCUGGGAGUCCCCGCGAACAACCAAGCGCUUGAUGUCGAGGGUGAUCGCCGCACGUAACCCGGCAAGCAGCCCCUCGUACUCUGCUGUGUUGUUGGUGCAGUUGGCGAAGUGGAGCUAUAUUACGAACUUGAGCUGAUCUCCAGUGGGCGACUCGAUCACCACUCCGGCACCAACGCCCUGCAAGCAGAAAGCGCCGUCGAAGUACAUGACCCAGUAUCCUUCGUCCAAUCUGCCGGGAAGGCUCGCUUCCGGAUGUUUGUCCUCUAUGCCCGUCGAUGUCCACUCCGCGACGAAGUCAGCGAGAGCGGUGCUCUUGAUGCUCUUGGUGUUUGCGAAACGCAGCCCGAAGUCCGCCAGCUCCAUUCUCCACUCGGCCACCCUCCCGGUGGCUUCACGGUUGGUGAGGGCCCGCUCUAAGCAAAACCCCGACACCACCGUGAUGUUGUGCGCCUGAAAGUAAUGGCGCAGCUUCCUUAAAGCGAGCAGGAUCCCAAGCAGAAGCUUCUGGACCUACGGGUACCGUACCCGGGCAUCGCGCAGCACCGUGCUAACAAAGUACACGGGAUGCUGCACUAGCCGCUUGCAGGGGCAGCCUGCGUGGGCUGUCCCUCGGAGCCAGUGGCAGAGCCGGUAGCCGGGGUUUCCUUCACCUCUCCGGGAGCCCCGGCCCCUUCGUCUCAGCCCCCGGGACUUGCUCUUCCCUCUCGGAAACGAGCACAGAGCUCACUACCUGGUCCGUCACUGCCAGGUAUAGCAGCAACGGCUCGCCUGGCUUGGGGGUGACGAGGACCGGCGGCGACUUCAGGUAUCUCUUCAAGUCCUGGAACGCCGCUUCUACCUCAAGAGUCCAAUUGAUUGAACCCUUCUUCUUCAUCACCUUGAAGAAAGGCAGGGCUCGCUCGCCCAUCCUUGAGAUGAAAUGCCCAAGCGCCGCAAUGCACUGAAGCGACCGCCCCCAUACAAGGGUUCGAUCUCUGUGCUUUAGUGCUAGUCCCUGGAUCGACUCACCAGCACACACAGUUUCAAGAUGUAAUAUCAUAGAACAAAGGUCUCAAUAUUACAACGUUUCAUUCAGAAUAUAAGAGGGUACUUACAACUCGCAUAACCUCACGGGUUAGCUGGAAAUAAAACAACUAUUUAGCAGCGGAAAGCGAAAGAUACAAGGGCACAUCAACACCACGGUGAGAGCGUGUUGGCAUGUAGGCCCGUAAUCCAAACAAGUAGAACGUACAUCUUACUCGUCGUCGGAGCUUCCUGCAUCAUUAAAAGAUGCAGCCACUAGGGUCAAUACAUUGAAUGUAUUAGCAGGAUUCACUAGGAGUUAUAUCAGAACCUACCAAGUAUAUGCAGUAUUUGGCAAGGUAGAGUUCAGGCUGUUUGCGUGGAAGCAGAACCUAAAUUACCCUACUACAAAGGAAUGUUAUAAUAAUGUUAACUAAUGGACACGGGGUAGACACACCCAUGCUCCUAUUAACCUAGAGUACAUUGAAGUGGAUUCUUCAAGUGCUCCUACCCUGUUCAAACCAUUCAUUUUAUUUAAGAAAUUGGAAUGAGUGAGACUUUCCUUACAGCUCCACAUCUAGUUGCUCAAAUUGUCCGUUGCCGGGGACACGGCUAAGUACUUAGUUUUGACGCUCUCGAGAGUUUGUACACAUUCCCCACAAGAAACCGACGUGUUAUCCCUUGCUGUCCUCAGGGUAGAGUAGCAACGGCAUCGAUUACGAGAUUUUCAGAGGUAAUUCCCUAAACCACGAGAGAAUCACGCUCCCCCUACACGGCUACCUCAGUACAAUUCCUCGGGUCUAGGUUCAUACAACUUACUCUUGUCUCGCCAGAGCCCAUAUAGCAUUGUGGUUGUACUAGAAGCUUCUAAAUAGGAAACUAGUCCAGUCUCGGUUACCCCAGGUGGCAUUCCACAUUUGCAACGUAGGCGCUCCCCGAAUCCACGGGAGAGACGUCCAUGGACGAUCCAUUCCUGAAUCCACAGGAACUCGACUCAGAGGGACACAUAGAAAUGGACCUGACGCCGCUAAUCCUCAAAAUCCUCAAAGCAGCCCACCCAGGAUGGUUCAUUGAAUUAGUUGUUUUGCCUUACAUCUAACAAAACAUUUCAUAUAGCCAAAGGCAUAACAAUAUCAUAAUGUAGUUAUUUCCCCCACCAUACUACCAUAGCUUAGCAUUCAAACUACAAUCGAUGGCAAUUUGGUAGUAAGGUAAUGGCGAGGGUAAACUAUACUACCUGGGAUUUAUAGCUAGCAUAGAGGUACGAGUAAUAGUCCUAUCAAUGCAUCUCUACCAACAACACUAAUGCAUAAGUAUUUUAAAACAACAAUAAUAAUGGGAUAUGAUCAAAGUGAACUUGCCUUGUCCAAGGUUGUGGUAGUUCUCGCACUCUUCGCAACCACAAGAAAUACACUCCACACAAUCUAAAAUAAAAGAAACACACACAAUAAACACAACAUUCAAUACAAAAACCAUGCCAUGAUGCAUAUGCCAAGAUGAUGCACACAAAGGUUACUUCUAACGUACAAAGUUUCGUUUCUGUUUUGAAAAGGCUCUCAAAAGAUUUGGACAGAUUAUACAACAUCAAAGUGGUAAUUAAUAUGCAUGAUACAUGAAUAGGGUUUAAAAAAAAAAGAUUGUGCGGCUUUUGCAACAUAGAGCAUUAUUUAACUUGUAUGCCAUGAUUAUACACAAAAUAAUUUCUUCUCUGGUCCUAAUGGAUAGAAAACAACUUUAAAUAAUUUUACAGCAAGAUAACAUGCUCAAAACUAUUUUGAAACAAUUCAUUUGAAAUUUAAACUCUAUUCAACCAAUCUGUAAAUUGCUUCUGACUAAUUUGUUCAAAACUGAAAUUAAAAAGUGCCAAAAUAUUCUACACGUUGUGACGAUUCCAGAAAGGUGUGGAUCGUAAAUUUUGGACAAACGGUUUAAAAGAUAUGGGGUUUUGAAGUUGUAGGGGCUUUUCUGCAAAAUUGCAUUAUCCAAUUCGGCCGAAUUAAAAUAAAAAGAAAAACCUGCCAUGUGGCAUGGCGGGACUGGCCGGUUUCUAGGGUUCCGGCCGGCGGCUAGCUCGCCGGCGGCGGCGCGGGGCGGCGCGGCGCGGGCAAAGGCGGCGCAGGACGCGACGGGCGGCGCGCGGGCGGCGGCGGCGGGCGGCGCGGGCAGCGCGGGGCGCAGGACGCGACGGGCGGCGCGCGGGCGGAGCGGGGCGGCGCAGGCGGCGGCGCGGGCACGGACAGCGCGCGGAGGGCGGCGGGCGGAGCGCGGGCGGCGGGCACGGCGCGGCACGCGGGGCGGCGCGGGGGUGCGGCCGGGCGGAGCGGGAGGCGGAGGCGGCGCGCGGACGGCGGAGCACGGGCGGCGGGCGGCGGCCGGCGCCGAGGAAGACGGCGGACGGAGGCGCAGAGCUCCAAAUCGCGGCCGGAUCGCGUCACAGCGUGCGCAAGGAAGAGAGGAGGAAGACUAGGGGGUCGGCGCGGGCGGAGACUCACCGGAACGGCGACGAAAACGCGAAGAAUGGCGGCGGCCGAGUGCAACUCCGGCGAGCAAUUAAAUUGCAACCGAGGCGAAAUCGGGCGAGCGGUUUGGGGGAAGUGGAGGAGAAAAGCGAGGGCUUCGGGGUGACGCGCAAGGAUUUGGAGAAAAAGGCCCGAGCGCGGAGAAAUCGGAGGUGGAGUCGUGGGCAGUUCGCGGGCGUGCGUGGCCGGAUUUCUCGGACGGAGGUUGAAGAUGACGCGUGGGUCCCACCGGUCAGUGAGAGCGGGCGGCUCGGGCGGGGCGGAGCCGGUCCGGUUUGACCUGGUCGGUCCAGUUCGGCCGGUUCGGCCGGUUUUCCCCGGUUUUUCCUUUUCUUUUAUCUAUUUUCUUUUUUUGAACCUCAAAAUUGAUUCGAAACUUCAAAUCACUCCAAAUAAAAUGCAAAAAAAUUUGAAAAAUCAUAUUUUCAUAUGAUCUAACUUUUGGAACAAGAAUUUCCUCAAAAUAAAAUAUUUAAAAAUACAUUUGCCUAUAAAAUGGCUUUUAGGCCCUUUAGGCUAUCGAAACAAAUUAUCUUUCAAAAUACUUUCAAAAGCCAAUCUAUGGGAUAGCUUUAUAUAUGCAAUAAAUCCCUUUUUACCACAAAACCCUAUUGGGUUAAAAUGCAAAUACUCAAGAGCAAGAUCAAAGCCCAAAAUCAAAUAAAAGCAUUUUUGAAAAAGAAUUUUCUGGGCAAACUUUAGGGUUUUGAAAGUGAUCAAAUGCAAGGGUGACAUGAUGCUUAUGAUAUGCAAUGCGCAUGAAGGGUUUUGAAAAUUGGGAUGUUACAGAACUAACCCCCUUAAGAUGAAUCUCGUCCUCGAGAUUCCUAUUAGUUAGCAAAAAGGUGUGGGUGGUCUUCUCGAAGAUCAUCCUCACGUUCCCACGUAGCUUCUUCUUCGGUGUGGUGAUUCCACUGAACCUUGCAAACUUGAUUGUCUUGGAACGGGUAUGUCUUUCAGCUGUUUCCAAGAUCCUGGUUGGUUUCUCUUCAUAUGUGAGAUCGCUUUGAAUCUCAACUUUGUCAAGUGAAACUGUAUCCCUUAGUGGCGUAUCGGCCAUUUCCGGGUGGCACUUCUUUAGCUGUGACACAUGGAACACGUCGUGGACACUUGUCAACUUUUCGGGUAACUCCAACUUGUAAGCAACCUCUCCUUGGCGUGCUAAAACUUUGUAGGGUCCAAUAUAGCGUGGCGCUAGUUUUCCUUUAAUCCCAAAUCUUUUAACUCCGCGUAUCGGGGAAACUCUGAGAUACGCUCUGUCACCGAUCUCGUUGGUGACCUCCCUUCGUUUGGAAUCUGUAUAACUCUUUUGUCUGGAUUGAGCUAUCUUGAGUCUGUCUCGAAUCAGUCUGACCUUCUCUUCAGCGUCCUUUAUCAUGUCGGGCCCGAAUAGACUACGGUCUCCUACACCAUCCCAUAGCAAUGGUGUCCUGCAUUUCUUGCCAUACAAAGCUUCGAAUGGUGCCAUUCCAAUACUCGCUUGAAAACUGUUGUUGUAUGAGAAAUCUGCAUAUGGUAGAUUCUCAUCCCAGCUAGAACCAUAGUCCAGAGCGCAAGCUCUUAACAUAUUCUCGAGAAUUUGGUUCACUCUUUCUGUUUGUCCAUCUGUCUGUGGGUGAAACGCUGUGCUAAACUCUAGUCUCGUGCCUAGAGACUCGUGCAAUUGUUCCCAAAAUCUUGAGGUAAAUUGGGUACCUCUAUCUGAAACGAUCUCUUUCGGAACUCCAUGUAGGCAUACAAUCCUAGACAUGUAACGUUUGGCCAACUGAGCACUUGUAUAAGUGGUCUUCACUGGUAUGAAAUGGGCAACUUUGGUCAAACGGUCAACUACCACCCAUAUUGAAUCAUAACCAGAUCUUGUCCUUGGCAAGCCAGUGAUGAAGUCCAUGCCUACCUUAUCCCAUUUCCAGUCUGGCACUGGCAAUGGUCGUAGUAACCCAGCUGGUUUCUGAUGUUCAGCCUUGACUCUGCUACAAACAUCACACAGAGUGAUAUACUCAGCGAUGUCUCGCUUCAAUCCCGUCCACCAAAACUUUUCUUUCAAGUCCAUGUACAUCUUUGUAUUACCGGGGUGGAUUGAGUACGGUGAAUCAUGAGCUUCCUGUAGUAUUAGCUUUCUGAUCUCGGGGCCUUGUGGUACACAAAUACGCUUCUCAAACCAUACGGUACCUUGAUCGUCCUCAACGAAUUCUUUUGCUUUCUCAAUAGCCAUAUUAUCUUUUAUCGUUCUUAUUUCUGAGUCUUCUUUCUGGGCUUCUCUAAUUCUGUCCAAUAGAGUAGGUUGUACCUCCAUGUUGGCUAAGUAACCUUCCGGAUCUAUCUCCAAUCUGAGAUCCUUGAAUUGUUCACACAAUUCAGCAGUUAACUCUCCAGCUGUAAGUCCAUUAACAUAGCCCUUGCGGCUCAAAGCAUCAGCUACUACAUUAGUCUUGCCUGGAUGAUAUUGAAGGUUCAGAUUAUAAUCCUUGAUUAACUCUAACCAUCUUCUUUUUCUCAAGUUCAAUUCUUUCUGCGUGAAUAUAUACUUCAAGCUUUUAUGAUCGGUGAAUAACUCACACUGCUUUCCCAUGAGAUAGUGCCUCCAAGUUUUGAGUGCGUGCACUACAGAUGCUAGUUCCAGAUCAUGAGUGGGGUAAUUUUCUUCAUGAUUCUUAAGUUGUCUUGAGGCGUAUGCUACGACUCUUCCUCCUUGCAUCAAAACAUAGCCCAAUCCUAAACGCGAAGCGUCGCAGUACACUUGAAAGUCUUCCAGUAGGUUGGGUAAAACGAGGAUGGGUGCUGAUACUAGUCUCUUCUUCAAAUCCUGAAAACUUUCCUCACACUUUUCAGUCCAUUCAAACUUCUUCUCUUUCUUCAAAAGUUCAGUCAUAGGCUUGGCAAUCUUGGAGAAAUUCUCUAUGAAUCUCCUGUAAUAUCCAGCAAGUCCUAGGAAGCUGCGAACAUCUCCGAUGUUCUUAGGGACUUCCCAUUCAAUCACCGCUGCUACUUUAGCGGGGUCGACGGCAAUACCAUUUCCUGACACAAUGUGUCCCAAGAAACCAACUUCAGACAACCAAAAUUCGCACUUGCUGAAUUUUGCAUAAAGCUUGCGCUCUCUAAGCUUUUCCAUGAUCAUACGCAAAUGUUCUUCAUGUUCUUCUUUGCUCUUCGAGUAGAUCAAAAUGUCGUCGAUGAAUACUACGACAAAUUUAUCCAAAUAUUCCAUGAAUACCUUGUUCAUCAUAUUCAUGAAGUAUGCCGGGGCAUUGGUUAAUCCAAAAGGCAUCACUGUGUACUCAUACAGGCCAUACCUAGUGGUAAAUGAUGUCUUGGAUAUAUCUACUUCUCGGAUCUUUAACUGAAAAUAACCUGAUCGAAGAUCGAUCUUUGAGAAAACGCAGGCUCCUUUCAACUGAUCGAAUAGAUCAUUGAUUAUGGGUAGUGGGUACUUGUUCUUUAUCGUCACCUCAUUUAGUGAGCGAUAGUCUAUGCACAUCCUUUGGCUUUUGUCUUUCUUUUCCACAAAUAGAACAGGUGCUCCCCAUGGUGAUGAGCUAGGGCGAAUAAAUCCUUUGGCCAAUUGUUCUGCAAGUUGCUUCUUCAGUUCCUUUAAUUCAUCUACAGCCAUCUUAUACGGUCUCUUGGCUAUAGGUCCACUUCCUGGCAAUAAUUCAAUAAGAAAUUCCACAUCUCGGUCCGGUGGCAUGCCUGGUAACUCCUCUGGAAACACAUCCGGAUAUUUUUUCACUAUCGGUACAUCCUCUAGGCUAACCCCCUUAAGAGAAUUUACCUUGGGUAAUUUAAGCUCAUAGGUUGACUUGAAGCGGAUUCGCUUCUUCUCUGGGGUUGUGAGUGUAAUUGUUCUCUUGACACAAUCCAUAAGUCCUUCAUAUAAGGUCAUCCAGUCCAUUCCUAGGAUCACAUCCAAGUCUUUUGAUCCUAACACUAUCAGGUCUGUGGGGGAAUUGUGUUUUCCAAAUUCUAAUGUCAGCAUUCGGCAUUCAUGAGCCGUUAUCAUCUCUCCCCCAGGUGACUUCACCUUCAUAGGGUUCACUAAGGUACUAGUGUUUAAUCCAUUCUCAUGCACAAAACUUCUUGAGAUAAAAGAACGCGAUGCACCGGUAUCAAACAGUACGAGUGCUUCAAAAGAAUUUAGACGGAAGGUGCCGAUUACGAUACCUUGCUCCUCCGUGAUUUCUUCCACGUUGACGUGGUUCACAUUGCCCUUCUGAAAUGGGUUUGGCUUUGCUCCAGCCUCAUUGAACUUCUCGGGACAAUCAUUAGAGUUGUGUCCCAUCUUAUGACACUUAAAGCAUUGCACUUGGCUCAGAUCUCUGCCAGUGGUGUGGUUCUACCCCGGGUUGCCUCCAUUGUUCUGGCCACUGCCCUUGUUGUUGUUGAUCCUUUGACGUUGGUGCUGAUGCUGGUACUGGUUAUUCUGAUUAAUGUUCUGGUUGUUGGUUGUCUGCCAGGUUACCAUUUGGAAAAGUUGAGUCUGAGCUGCCAACAGAGUCUGCAUGGUCACUGCAUUGUCGUUCUCUCCCUCAUGGUUGUCACUGUUGUUGGUGGUAUGGCUAUUGUUGUUGGGGACACGUCUUAGAGGCAACUUUUUAGGAUAUCAUAGAUGAGAAAAUAGAUAGACAGGGUCUAAAGAAAAACUAAGCCCCACAACACAGGCAAAACAACAGUUCAAACACAAUUAUAACACAAGCAUGACAAUUCAAUCAGGAACAAGUCAACUAUAAAGCAAGCAAAAACAUUCACUAGGAUUUUAACAUCCAAAACAAAUAGUUCACAAGGCAUAACAGCCUAAGACACAAGUAAAGAGUUGCAAGUAAACACACGGAUCUACAUUGCCAUACCACAACGACGGCAUGGUCAAUGACUAACACGAUAACGAUAUAGUAUAAUAAAUAGUCUGGCGGGCUCUAAGCUGGAAACUAAGGAAGUGAGAGGAAGUUGGCAUUUCUGGAGUUCCUCGCGUUGGAACGGGUGCGGGUGGCAGGUGUGUCCAUCUCGUGGACCUCCUGGGGCUCCUCCUCGGUUGGCACUCCCUCCUUUGGUUCCACCUCCUGAUCUAGCGAUGAAGGUGGGGUCUGAACAGGUGCCGGUGCGGCAGCUGGUGCGGCUUCGGCGGCGGCUGCGGCUUCGAUGAAAGCCUUAAACUGCUCACAGUAGUAACGGGCUUGGUCCCUCUCAUACAUCAAUUGCUCUAUGGCUCCUCCCAUGUUGAGGACAGCGUUCUCCAACACGAUCUUGUCCUCCUGUAGCUGGGCAUUCUCCCCUAGUAGAUUACCGGCCUGUUCCUCAGCUAGGUCGGCCCUGGUCAUUUCCUCACCGAGGCAGGUCUCCAGAUUCUCGGUGUUCUUCUCCAUGCUCUCAAACUGGGCGGCCACCUCGGACACCUCCUGGUCGUCGGCUGCUGGCACGGCCUGGCACGUGUGGUUCCGCCUUCCAAAGAGACCGAAGGGGGAGUCCUCGGGAAACUCAUGCCGAUAGUCUCAGCACACCUGCGCGAAGGCGCACUGCAUGGCGAACUGAAGGCCCUGCUCGAAAGUGGGGUAGCGGGCGAUGAAAGUGAUAUCUGGAGUCGCUGCCGCGAUCUCACGCCCGCGGAUCUUCGCCUCAAUCUCCCACCGUGGCUGCCAUCCUUCUGGCACGGCGGGCUCGACUCGGCCUCUGAAACUGGGAGGUGGCAGGUCGAGGAACGCACACAGUGCCACCAAAGGGGCACUGAACAACUGCUCGUCGUCGGUGGAGGGGUAGUAGACUCGGGUAAACGGCGGUACGUUGCCAAAGGGUGGUGGUGGGCUUUCCAUCUAUAGAAAACAAGAAGGAAAGGUAGGGAAGUAUCAGUGACAAGAUCAAAAGGUCGGGUGUAAGUAGAAUAAAAGGAUAAAUGUAGAAGGGUGGGUGAAAUGACAAGAAUUAUAAUUAAAAGUGGAUUUGCAAAGACAAAAUUGGAUGCAUGAUGAUAUGUGCAUAACAUGACAACAUGAUUAUAGUGGUAGUUGGUAUAACAAAAUAAAUAUGCAUCCGCGGUAUAACAAAAUAAACAUGCAUAUGUGGUAUAGCAUAGUAUUUGGUGUAUAUGUAAAAUAAAUCAACAAACAUGUCAUGCAUAUGUAAGAUAUAAAUGCAAUGAUUUAGAAGAAUAGGGAUAAGGAGUAAAAUAUAUAUAAAGAUCAGAUAGAGAUAAGAAUUUCUCCUAAGCUUUGGUCUCAUGGUUUAGUCUUAUCCUAAUCCAAGCUAGGGUCACGUUCCUACAGACAACACAUUGCUCUGAUACCAUCUGAAGCGACCGCCCCCAUACAAGGGUUCGAUCUCUGUGCUUUAGUGCUAGUCCCUGGAUCGACUCACUGGCACGCACAGUUUCAAGAUGUAAUAUCAUAGAACAAAGGUCUCAAUAUUACAACGUUUCAUCCAGAAUAUAAGAGGGUACUUACAACUCGCAUAACCUCACGGGUUAGCUGGAAAUAAAACAACUGUUUAGCAGCGGAAAGCGAAAGAUACAAGGGCACAUCAACACCACGGUGAGAGCGUGUUGGAUGGUAGGCCCGUAACCCAAACAAGUAGAACGUAUAUCUUACUCGUCGUCGGAGCUUCCUGCAUCAUUAAAAGAUGCAGCCACUAGGGUCAAUACAUUGAAUGUAUUAGCAGGAUUCACUAGGAGUUAUAUCAGAACCUACCAAGUAUAUGCAGUAUUUGGCAAGGUAGAGUUCAGGCUGUUUGCGUGGAAGCAGAACCUAAAUUACCCUACUACAAAGGAAUGUUAUAAUAAUGUUAACUAAUGGACACGGGGUAGACACGCCCAUGCUCCUAUUAACCUAGAGUACAUUGAAGUGGAUUCUUCAAGUGCUCCUACCCUGUUCAAACCAUUCAUUUUAUUUAAGAAAUUGGAAUGAGUGAGACUUUCCUUACAGCUCCACAUCUAGUUGCUCAAAUUGUCCGUUGCCGGGGACACGGCUAAGUACUUAGUUUUGACGCUCUCGAGAGUUUGUAUACAUUCCCCACAAGAAACCGACGUGUUAAUCCCUUGCUGUCCUCAGGGUAGAGUAGCAACGGCAUCGAUUACGAGAUUUUCAGAGGUACUUCCCUAAACCACGAGAGAAUCACGCUCCCCCUACACGGCUACCUCAGUACAAUUCCUCGGGUCUAGGUUCAUACAACUUACUCUUGUCUCGCCAGAGCCCAUAUAGCAUUGUGGUUGUACUAGAAGCUUCUAAAUAGGAAACUAGUCCAGUCUCGGUUACCCCAGGUGACAUUCCACAUUUACAACGUAGGCGCUCCCCGAAUCCACGGGAGAGACGUCCAUGGACGAUCCAUUCCUGAAUCCACAGGAACUCGACUCAGAGGGACCCAUAGAAAUGGACCUGACGCCGCUAAUCCUCAAAAUCCUCAAAGCAGCCCACCCAGGAUGGUUCAUUGAAUUAGUUGUUUUGCCUUACAUCUAACAAAACAUUUCAUAUAGCCAAAGGCAUAACAGUAUCAUAAUGUAGUUAUUUCCCCCACCAUACUACCAUAGCUUAGCAUUCAAACUACAAUCGAUGGCAAUUUGGUAGCAAGGUAAUGGCGAGGGUAAACUAUACUACCUGGGAUUUAUAGCUAGCAUAGAGGUACGAGUAAUAGUCCUAUCAAUGCAUCUCUACCAACAACACUAAUGCAUAAGUAUUUUAAAACAACAAUAAUAAUGGGAUAUGAUCAAAGUGAACUUGCCUUGUCCAAGGUUGUGGUAGUUCUCGCACUCUUCGCAACAACAAGAAAUACACUCCACACAAUCUAAAAUAAAAGAAACACACACAAUAAACACAACAUUCAAUACAAAAACCAUGCCAUGAUGCAUAUGCCAAGAUGAUGCACACAAAGGUUACUUCUAACGUACAAAGUUUCGUUUCUGUUUUGAAAAGGCUCUCAAAAGAUUUGGACAGAUUAUACAACAUCAAAGUGGUAAUUAAUAUGCAUGAUACAUGAAUAGGGUUUAAAACAAAAGAUUGUGCGGCUUUUGCAACAUAGAGCAUUAUUUAACUUGUAUGCCAUGAUUAUACACAGAAUAAUUUCUUCUCUGGUCCUAAUGGAUAGAAAACAACUUUAAAUAAUUUUACAGCAAGAUAACAUGCUCAAAACUAUUUUGAAACAAUUCAUUUGAAAUUUAAACUCUAUUCAACCAAUCUGUAAAUUGCUUCUGACUAAUUUGUUCAAAACUGAAAUUAAAAAGUGCCAAAAUAUUCUACACGUUGUGACGAUUCCAGAAAGGUGUGGAUCGUAAAUUUUGGACAAACGGUUUAAAAGAUAUGGGGUUUUGAAGUUGUAGGGGCUUUUCUGCAAAAUUGCAUUAUCCAAUUCGGCCGAAUUAAAAUAAAAAGAAAAACCUGCCAUGUGGCAUGGCGGGACUGGCCGGUUUCUAGGGUUCCGGCCGGCGGCUAGCUCGCCGGCGGCGGCGCGGGGCGGCGCGGCGCGGGCAGAGGCGGCGCAGGACGCGACGGGCGGCGCGCGGGCGGAGCGGGGCGGCGCAGGCGGCGGCGCGGGCACGGACAGCGCGCGGAGGGCGGCGGGCGGCGCGGCGCACGGGCGCGGGGCGGAGCGCGGGCGGCGGGCACGGCGCGGCACGCGGGGCGGCGCGGGGGUGCGGCCAGGCGGAGCGGGAGGCGACGGCGGAGCACGGGCGGCGGGCGGCGGCCGACGCCAAGGAAGACGGCGGACGGAGGCACAGAGCUCCAAAUCGCGGCCGGAUCGCGUCACACCGUGCGCAAGGAAGAGAGGAGGAAGACUAGGGGGUCGGCGCGGGCGGAGACUCACCGGAACGGCGACGAAAACGCGAAGAAUGGCGGCGGCCGAGUGCAACUCCGGCGAGCAAUUAAAUUGCAACCGAGGCGAAAUCGGGCGAGCGGUUUGGGGGAAGUGGAGGAGAAAAGCGAGGGCUUCGGGGUGACGCGCAAGGAUUUGGAGAAAAAGGCCCGAGCGCGGAGAAAUCGGAGGUGGAGUCGUGGGCAGUUCGCGGGCGUGCGUGGCCGGAUUUCUCGGACGGAGGUUGAAGAUGACGCGUGGGUCCCACCUGUCAGUGAGAGCGGGCGGCUCGGGCGGGGCGGAGCCGGUCCGGUCCGGUCCGGUUUGACCUGGUCGGUCCGGUUCGGCCGGUUCGGCCGGUUUUCCACGGUUUUUCCUUUUCUUUUAUCUAUUUUCUUUUUUUGAAACUCAAAAUUGAUUCGAAACUUCAAAUCACUCCAAAUAAAAUGCAACAAAAUUUGAAAAAUCAUAUUUUCAUAUGAUCUAACUUUUGGAACAAGAUUUUCCUCAAAAUAAAAUAUUUAAAAAUACAUUUGCCUAUAAAAUGUCUUUUAGGCCCCUUAGGCUAUCGAAACAAAUUAUCUUUCAAAAUACUUUCAAAAGCCAAGCUAUGGGAUAGCUUUAUAUAUGCAAUAAAUCCCUUUUUACCACAAUACCCUAUUGGGUUAAAAUGCAAAUACUCAAGAGCAAGAUCAAAGCCCAAAAUCAAAUAAAAGCAUUUUUGAAAAAGGAUUUUCUGGGCAAACUUUAGGGUUUUGAAAGUGAUCAAAUGCAAGGGUGACAUGAUGCUUAUGAUAUGCAAUGCGCAUGAAGGGUUUUGAAAAUUGGGAUGUUACAUGCACCCAUUGAGGUGCUGGACGUCUCUAACCUUGCGGGGUGCCUCCAUCUUCUCGAUCGCUUCGAUCUUCUGCACCCAUUGGCUUCGAUUCCCUUGUGAGAGACCAGGAAGCCCAGCAAGUGCCCCGAGUCCACACCGAACGUGCACUUCUCAGGGUAAAGCUUGAGCUUGAUCCUGCGGAGGUUGUUGAACGUCUCCUGCAGGUCGCCGAUGAGCGAGUCACUACGCCGCGACUCGACGAUGAUAUCGUCCAUGUAGGCCUCAAUGUUCCAGCCUAGCUAGGGUGUAGUUGUAGCAGUAUAGCUUUGCACGGCGCAUCCCCCGAAUGUUCGGUGCGGCGGAAGUCGUUUCACCUGCGGGGCGCAGCCCCCAAGUGUAGGGUGCGGCUAAAGCCGUUUAUCCUACGGUGCGUAGCCCCCAGUGUCGAAUGUGACCAGGGCGGUUUGCUCUAUGUGGCGUAGCCCUCGAGUGUCAGGCACGACUGAGACAGUCUUGCCUGAUGGUGCGAGCCUUACGAAGUCGAUGAAGCGGUGGACGGAGUCGAAACGGCAUAGAGAGCCAACGCGGCGCAUGUCGGAGGUGACGCGCUGAAGUGAGUCGCUUCGCCUGCGGGCGCAGCCCCCGAGUGUCGAAUGUGACCGAGGCGGUAUGGCCUAUAUGGCGCAGCCCCUAAGUAUCAGGCGUGGUUGACGGAGUCGGUGAAGCGAAAGACGGAGUCGACUAUCCGCGGUGGAUGGAGCCGUCGUGACGCGCGGAGGCGACCUAACAGAGGGAGUUGACGAUGCGCAGACGGGGACCUCGUGGCUCGGACGGAGUCGACGCGGUGGCGGAGUCUCGUUUGGACGAGGUCUCAUGGUAGAUGGCGUUUGUUGUCGUGCGGUAUAGUAGUUGCGGGCGUAGCGGACCUGUUCCAAUGAUGAAGUCGAUCGCCGCACGUGCAGCUACAGGUGACGGAGAUGUUGUGUUGUGGACGGAGGUGACGCGGCGGAGGGGUUGCGUCGGAUGCUUGGUCGGAUGGUGGCGACGAGGCGGCGAAUCGGCCGGACACCUAGUGAAGCGAUCCUCCCCCUUAGUAGGGUUCGAUCUCUGUGCUUACUGUGCUAGUCCCUGGAUCGACUCACUAGCACACAUAGUUUCAUGAUGAAGUAUACAGAAACAAAGGUCAAAAGUACUUUAUUACAUCGCAUCAUCCAGAAUUUAAAUAGUAAUUACAACCUCGUACGACCUCUUGGGUCAGCAUAAAACAAAUACUGUUUCAUCAUCAUAAAACGAUGUUUCAAAAUACUACAGCGGAAAAGGGUAGAACGUAAGGGCCUCAACUACUCCAAGGUGAGAGCAUGUUGGAAUGUAAGCACAUGACCCACAACAAAAUUACGAACCUCACUCAUCGUCGGAUCCACCUGCAUUGUUAAUUGCAGCCACUACGUGGUCAAUACAUUUGAAUGUAUUGGCAGGUUCACUAGAGUUAUAAAGGACCUACCAAGUACAUGCAUAAUUUGGCUAUGUGGGGUACGGCGGUUUGCAUAAAAGCACCAUAGUUCAAUCCUAUCAUUUUUAAACAAAUAGUUUUAAAUUCUAUUGGACACGGGGUAGAAACACCCAUCCUCCUAUUAACCUAGGCACAUUGAGUAGACACAUCAAUGCUCCUACCCAGUUCAAUCCAUUCAUUUUACUAGGAAAUUGGAAUGAGUGAGACCUUCCUUACAGCCCCCAUAUCUAGUUGCUCAUAAUUGUUCCAACUGGGGACAUAGCUAAGUACUUAGUUUGACACUCUCGAGAGGUGGUACACUUUACCCACAAGAAAUCGACGUGUUAAUCCCUUGAUGUCCUCAGGGUAGAGUAGCAACGGCAUCGAUUACAGGAAUUUUCAGAACAUAUUCCCCAAGCCACCUGACGGACGCGUUCCAACCUACACUGCUACAUACCGAUGUCACCUCGGAUCCAGGUUCAUAUUUCUUACAUCCAUCCUGGCAGAGCUUAUAUUACCAUGUGGUUGUACUGGAAGCUACUAAACAGGAAACUAGUCAAGUCUCUGGUUACCCCGGGUGGCAUUCCACAUUGUGACGCAGGCGCUCCUCGAAUCUCACGGGGAGUCGACCAUGGACGCUCCCGAAUCUCACGGAGAGACGACUCAGCGGGCCCCAUAGAAAUGGACCUAACGUCAUGACAUCCGAAAACAAAAGGCAGCCCACCCAGGACGGUUCAUUGAAUUACUUGUUUUGCCAUACACUAGGAAAACCAUACUUUAAUUCAAUAACCUUCUAUUGUAAUAAUACCACCCUCGUAUAUUAUCAUAGCAUAGCAUUUUACUACUACGAUGGCAAUUGGUGGUGUGGACAUGGCAAAGGUAUCCUAUACUACUGGGACAGUGCCAAACAGAUUAAAAGAUAUGAUCAUUUGAAGUUACAGGGGCUUUUCUGCAAAAGUCCCAUUUCUAAUUAUUCCGGGAAUUAAAAUUAGAUUUUCAUUUUAUAAUUCGGGUGCCAUGGCAGCUCCUGAUUGGUUGGUACCAGUUUGAUUAAAAGAAUUAAUCCGAUCUAAUCUGAGCCGUUGAUCACGAUCGGACGGACCAGGGGAGGUCGGGCUCACCUAGGGUUCCGGCAAGCGGCUCGGGCGGCGACGCGGCACGGGCGGCGGCGGCGCGGGGUGCUCCGGCGACACGAGCGGCUCGGGGAAGCGCACGGGAGGUGAAGGCGCGGACGCGGUCGGCGCGGCUCGGGACGGUCGGGGUCGUCACCUAGGUCGAAGACGAGGCGGCGGCGCGGGUAGAACUCCGGCGAGGGGCGGCGGGCGGCUUCCGACGGCUAUAGUGCACCAAAAGACGAAAGGUUCGCCUCAAAAGAAUGGCGAGGAGGAGAGAAAAGUGGUAGGCGUGGUCUCGUCGUUCAUGGCGUACCAGGUGUUCGGCGGCGAGCUCGAGAUGGCGACGGGCGACGACGAGAAAUUUCGUCGCCGUGGGCGCGCAAGAGAGAGGGGAACCAAGGGGGAAGAAGAGAGGAGGGCAAGGGCCUUAAAAGGACAAGCUCGGGGCUCCGAAAGAAGGACGGGAGAGGAGAUUGCGGCGGAGAUGGCGCGGCGGCGAAAAUUGUGGCAUGAUGCUCAUGGAUGCAAUGCAUAUGAAAGAAUUUGAAAUUUUGGGAUGUUACAGACCUAACCCCCUUAAGAGAAUCUUGUCCUCGAGAUUCGGUGUGGUUAGCAAAGAGGUGUGGGUGGUCUUCUCGAAGAUCAUCUUUGCACUCCCAAGUGGCUUCCUCUUCAGUGUGAUGGUCCCACUGAACUUUGCAAAACUUGAUGGUCUUGGAUCGGGUUUGUCUCUCAGCUGUAUCCAAGAUUCUGAUAGGUUUCUCCUCAUAGGUGAGGUCACUUUGCAGUUGAACUUCUUCUAGGUGUAUCAUAUCCCUUAGUGGUGUGUCGGCCAUCUGAGGAUGACAUUUCUUCAGUUGCGAUACAUGGAAGACGUUGUGGACAUUGGACAAUGCUUCCGAUAAGUCUAACUUGUAGGCCACUUCUCCUUGGCGUGACAAGAUCUUGAAGGCUAACUUUCCUUUUAUUCCAAAUCUCUUUACCCCGCGUAUCGGCGAAACUCUGAGAUAUGCUCUACCUUCAAUCUCUUAGGUAACCUCCCUACGUUUGGAAUCUGCAUAGCUUUUCUGCCUUGACUGAGCUACCUUCAGCUGGUCUCGGAUGAGUCUAACCUUUUCCUCGGCAUCCUUUAUCAAAUCCGGGCCGAAUAGGCUAUAGUCUCCUACACCAUCCCAUAACAAUGGUGUUCUACACUUCCUUCCAUACAAAGCUUCGAAAGGUGACAUUCCUAUGCUGGCUUGGAAGCUGUUGUUGUAUGAAAAUUCUGCAUAUGGCAGAUUGUCAUCCCAAUUGGAUCCAUAAUCUAGAGCGCAGGCUCUCAACAUGUCUUCAAGGAUCUGAUUUACUCUUUCGGUCUGUCCAUCCGUGUGCGGAUGAAACGCUGUACUGAAUUCUAGUCUCGUUCCUAGAGAAUCAUGUAGUUGUCCCUAAAAUCUUGAGGUAAAUUGGGUACCUCUGUCAAAAACUAUUUCCUUGGAUACUCCGUGUAAACACACUAUCCUAGAUAUAUAGCGCUUCGCUAACUGUGCGCCGGUGUAAGUGGUCUUUACCGGUAUGAAGUGGGCAACCUUGGUCAAAUGGUCAAUUACUACCCAAAUGGAAUCAUAUCCUGAUAUGGUCCUUGGUAAACCGGUGAUAAAGUCCAUGCCAACUUUAUCCCAUUUUCUGUCCGGUAUUGGCAGCGGUCUUAGCAAUCCUACUGGCUUCUGGUGCUCUGCCUUAACUCUGCUGCACACAUCGCACAAGGCAAUGAACUCUGCGAUGUCUCGCUUUAAUCGGGACCACCAAAAUCUUUCCUUGAGGUCCAUGUACAUCUUCGUGUUUCCAGGGUGGAUUGAGUAAGGUGAAUCGUGGGCUUCUUGCAAAAUCAGCUUUCUGAUUUCCGGAUCCUGCGGUACACAAAUGCGUUUACCGAAUCAUAUGGUUCCUUGGUCAUCCUCACGAAAGUGUUCUGCUUUCCCGAUAAGUUUAUUCUCUUUUAUCGCAUUUAUUUCCGAAUCGCCCUUCUGUGCUUUUCUGAUCCUGUCUAGCAAUGUGGGCUGUACUUCCAAGGUGGCUAAAUAACCUUCCGGCACAAUCUCAAGUCUCAGGUCCUUGAACUGUUUGCACAAUUCUGACGGUAAUUCUCCAGCUGUCAGUCCAUUCAAAUAGCCCUUGCGGCUCAAAGCAUCGGCUACAAUAUUAGCCUUGCCUGGAUGGUAUUGCAGAUUCAGGUCAUAAUCUUUUAUAAGCUCUAGCCAUCUUCUCUGCCUCAGAUUCAACUCCUUCUGGGUGAAUGUGUAUUUCAGACUCUUGUGGUCAGUAAACAGUUCAUAGUGUUUACCCAUCAGGUAGUGUCUCCAAGUUUUCAUGGCGUGCACUACUGAGGCUAAUUCCAAAUCAUGCGUGGGAUAGUUGCCUUCGGGGCUCUUUAGUUGUCGCGAAGCGUACGCUACAACUCUUCCAUUCUGCAUUAAGACUCCUCCCAAUCCUUGACGUGAGGCGUCACAGUAUACUUGAAAAUCCUCUUGCAGGUUAGGCAAAACAAGGAUGGGCGCAGACACUAAUCUUUUCUUCAAUUCCUGAAAGCUUUCUUCACAGUUCUCAUUCCAGGUAAACUUUUUCUCUUUCUUUAAGAGCUCAGUCAUGGGUUUUGCUAUCUUGGAGAAGUUCUCAAUGAACCUCCGGUAGUAACCAGCAAGUCCAAGGAAACUGCGGACUUCUCCGACAUUCUUCGGUGCCUCCCAUUCUGUAACUGCUGCAACCUUUGCUGGGUCAACAGCUACUCCGGCUCCUGACACUAUGUGUCCUAGGAAGCUAACUUCUGAUAACCAAAAUUCACACUUGCUGAACUUGGCGUACAACUUGUGCGCUCUCAACAUUUCCAAUAUCAUGCGCAGAUGCUGCUCAUGCUCUUCCUUGCUCUUGGAAUAAACCAAGAUGUCAUCGAUGAAUACCACGACAAACUUGUCCAAGAAUUCCAUGAACACCUUGUUCAUCAUGUUCAUGAAGUAUGCUAGUGCAUUUGUCAAUCCAAAAGGCAUCACGGUGUACUCAUACAGUCCAUACCUAGUAGUGAAUGCCGUCUUGGGUAUAUCCAUCUCUCCGAUUUUCAGCUGGAAAUACCCUGAUCGCAGAUCGAUCUUUGAGAACACUUGAGCUCCCUUCAAUUGAUCGAAAAGAACAUUGAUUUUGGGCAAAGGAUAUUUAUUUUUUAUCGUCACCUCAUUUAGUGAACGAUAGUCAAUGCACAUCCGUUGGCUCUUGUCCUUCUUCUCUACAAACAGGACAGGUGCUCCCCAGGGUGAUGAACUGGGUCGGAUGAAACCUUUCGCUAACGUUCAGCUAGCUGCUUCUUCAAUUCCUUUAAUUCCUCCACAGCCAUCUUAUAUGGUCUCUUGGCUAUGGGUCCACUUCCUGGCAUCAACUCAAUGUAACGGUCUAGUGGCAUGCCUGGUAAUUCCUCUGGGAAUACGUCUGGGUAUUCCUUCACUAUUGGUACUUCGUCCAUACUAACCCCCUUAAGAGCAUUAACCUUGGGUCUCUUAAUCUCGUGGGUUGACAUGUACCGGAUGCGUCUUUUGUUAGGGGUUGUGAGUGUGACAGUCCUCUGGGCACAGUCUACCAAACCUUCAUACAAGGUCAACCAGUCCAUUCCUAGGAUUAGGUCCAGUCUUCAGGCUGAGCACUCCCGCAGAGAUGUGGGCGGUGCGGAAGGCUUCCUGGAACAUGUCCCAGGUGACAUCCUCGAUGGGAGUGGUGAUCUGAAAAUUUUCCCACCAUGACGCUGCGGGUCAUUCUAGCAAAUGAGCUGCGAAUCGCACUUUCUCUUCAUCAGUGCAGUUGAUGGUGACCAAGUUCUUGUUGACUGACCGGAGCCAAUCGUCAGCCAUAAUAGGCUCAGUGGAGCUGGAAAAAGUGGGCGGGCGCAAACGUAGGAAUCUGGUCAGCAUAUCCACUUGGGGUGGGUGGUGUUGCUGGUUGUUGUGGUUCUGCUGGUUGUUGUUGUUGUUGGCCAACUGUUGGGUGAUCAUCUGGAAGAAUUGGGUCUGAGCGGCCAAUAACUAUUGCAUGGUGGCAGCGUUUCCAUCAGCUUCUGCAUUGUUAGCCUCAGCGUUGUUGGCAGGGUUCCGGCGUCUCGGAGGCAUCUGUUUACGGUAGCAUAGAUGAGGAAAACAGAUAGAAUAGAGCUAAGGAUAACUAAACCCCCAAACAAGAUAUGAAUCAAGCAUAUAUCAAUCAUACACUCAUCGAUCAUAAAAGGUUUUGGAAAUCAUAGCAAAACACACUUGUUUAUGGUGGGGCAUUGCCCAUAAAGAAGAGAGUACGAAGAAAAGCAAUCGACCUACAUUGCCAUACACAUAGAUUGUAUGGUCAAUGACUAACUCGCAAUGCUGAUAACGCUAAAAACUAAUAUAAGCUGGUAGGCAUCAAUAGAUCUAAGGGAGUGUGGCUGUCGGUGUGGUCCCGUUCGCCUUCAUCUUGGAGCGGGAGUUGGUAGCAGGGGUGUCCAUCUCGUGGACCUCCUGGGGCUCCUCCUCCUCAGUCGGCUCCUCCUCCUGAGGCUCCAUGUCCUGAUCCUGUGGCGGAGGUGGGAACUGGACAGGCGCCGGUGCUGCAGCUGGUGCUGCUGCGGCCGCUGCUGCGAUGAACGCCUGGAACUGCUCGCGGUAGUAGCGAGCCUGGUCCCUCUCGUACUGCAGCUGCUCGAUGGCGUCUCCCAUAUUGAGCACAGUGUUCUCCAACACGGCCUUGUCCUCAAGCCACUGGGUCUUCUCUCCCAGCAGAUUACCAACCUGCUCCUCGGCUAGGUCGGCCCGGGUCAUCUCGUGCUCGAGACAAGACUCCAAGUCCACGGUGUUGAUUUCCAUGUUCUCGAAGUGGGUCGUCACUGGGGUUGCAUCCUCGUCGUUGGUCGUAGCAACUGCCGAGCAUGCAUGGUUCCGCCUUCCAAAGAGGAGGAAGGGGGAGUCCUCGGGGAACUCGUGCCGAUAGUCCCGGCACACCUGUGCGAAGGCGCACUGCAUGGCAAACUGAAGGCCCUGCUCGAAUGUGGGGUAGCGGCUGAUGAAGGUGAUAUCCGGUGUAGCUGGCGCGAUCUCAAGCCCCCGGAUCUUCGCCUCGAUCUCCCACCGUGGCUGCCAUCCCUCGGGUGCGGCGGUCUCGACUCGCCCUCUGAACCUGGGUGGUGGCAGGUCGAGGAAAGCACACAGUGCCGCCAAAGGGGCACUGAACAACUGGUCGUCAUCCGUGGAAGGGUAGUAGACGCGGGUGAACGGCAGUACAUUGCCGAACGGUGUUGGGCUUCCCAUCUAUAGAAAAUAAAGAAAGAGAUAAGGGAGUAUCAGUGACAUGAUCAAAUGGUCAAAUGUAAGUAAAAAUAAAAUAAAAGUGGUAGAGUGGGAAUCAAGUGAUAAACAUUAAUAUCAAGGGUGGAAAUGUAAAUAUAAAAUUGGAUGCAUACUAACAUGUGAACCACAUGGCAACAAGAUUAUAGUGGUGUAUGGUGUAAAAAUCAAAUAUGCAUCUGUAGUAUAAUAUAAUAAACAUGCAUAUGUGGUAAUAAGCAUAGUAUUCGGUGUAUAUGUGGAAUGAAACAAUAAACAUGUCAUGCAUAUGUAGAUAUAAAUGCAAAGAUUUAGAUGAAUAGGGAUAAGGAACAAAAUGUAUGUAUAUAGAUAUAGAUCAGAUAGGGAAGAGAAAUAUUCUUAAGGUUUGGUCUUUGGUUUUGUCUUCUACUAAUCCAACUAGGGUCACGUUCCUACAGGCAACACAUUGCUCUGAUACCAUCUGAAACGAUCCCCUUUCACCAAGGGUUCGAUCUCUGUGCUUACUGUGCUAGUCCCUAGAUCGACUCACUAGCACACACAGUUUCAUGAUGAAAUACACAGAAGCAAAGGUCAAAGUACUUUAUUACAUCGCAUCAUCCAGAAUUUAAUAGUACUUACAACCUCGCUUGACCUCUGGGGUCAGCCUAAAACAAAUACUGUUUUAUCAUCAUAAAACAAUGUUUCAAAACUGCAGCGGAAAAAGGGUAGAACAUAAGGGCCACACUACCCCAAGGUGAGAGCAUGUUGAAAUGUAAGCACAUGACCCAUGACAAAACGACGAACCUCACUCAUCGUCGGAUCCACCUGCAUUGUUAAUUGCAGCCACUACGUGCUCAAUACAUUUGAAUGUAUCGGCAAGCUCACCAGAGUUAUAAAGGACCUACCAAGUACAUGCAUAGUUUGGCUUGGUGGGGUUUGGCUAAUUUGCAUAAAAGCAUCAUUAUUUAAAUCCUAUCAUUUUUAGAUAAAUAGCUUUAAAUUCUAUGGGACACGGGGUAGAAACACCCAUGCUCCUAUUAACCUAGGCACAUUGAGUAGAAACAUCAAUGCUCCUACCCAGUUCAAACCAUUCAUUUUAUUAGGAAAUUAGAGUGAGGGAGACCUUCCUUACAGCUCCAAUAUCUAGUUGGUCAUAAUUGUCCGUAACCGGGGACACGGCUAAUUACUUAGUUUGACACUCUCGAGAGGUGGUACACUUUACCCACAAGAAAUCGACAUGUUAAUCCCUUGCUGUCCUCAGGGUAGAGUAGCAACGGCAUCGACUACAGGAAUUUUUAGAACAUAAUCCCCCAGACCACCUGAGGGACGCGCCCCCACCUACACUGCUACAUACCGAUGUCACCUCGGAUCCGGGUUCAUAUUUCUUACAUCCAUCCUGGCAGAGCCCAUAAUACCAUGUGGUUGUACUGGAAGCUACUAAACAGGAAACUAGUUCAGUCUCUGGUUACCUUGGGUGGCAUCCCACAUUGUGACGCAGGCGCUCCCCGAAUCGCACGGGGAGACGACCAUGGACGCUCCCGAAUCACACGGAGAGACGACUCAGCGGGCCCCGUAGAAAUGGACCUAACGUCACGACAUCCGAAAACUCAAAGCAGCCCAUCCAGGACGAUUCAUUGAAUUACUUGUUUUGCCAUACAGUAGGAAAAUCAUAUUGUAAUUCAAUAGUAUGACAUUUGUAAUAAUAACACCCUCGUAUAUUAUCAUAGCAUAGCAUUUUACUACUACGAUGGCAAUUGGUGGUGAGGGUCAUGACAAAGGUAUCCUAUACUAGUAGGACAGAUCAUAGCUAGCAUAGAUACAAUAAUAAUCCUAACAAUGCAACUAAUAAAAUCUAGUGCAUAAUAAAGUAAUAGGUGAAUGAUCAAAGUGAACUUACCUUGAUAGUAGUUGGAGUUCAAACACUCUUUACAGUCACACAGUUCGCUCUGCGAGAAAACUAUACAAUCAAGCAAACAUACACAUACAUAAAACACACCAUACAAGCAAAAGAUUAUGUAUGCCAUGAUGCAUUGCAAAACAUGUGACAUGAGUUUGGUUUAUUUUGUUUGGGUGAUCUACUGAACCAAAGCAUAAAUAAAUUAAGCAUAUGCAAUUAGGGUUUUAAACGAAAAGCAAAAGCUAGGGUUUAAACCCUAAAAUGAGGUUUUAUUUGCAUCUACAAAAUAAUUUAAUUCAAAAUAUUUAUUUAUCUGUCCCAUUGGACAGAGCACAAUAAAACAAAAUUUGGGGCACUGGUUUCAUUCAAAAAGGACUUCUAGAUAAUUAGUUAUGAUUUAAAUGGUAUAAAACCCUAAUCUGUAAUUUGAAUGUGAUUCAAAUAUUCAAAUUUGAAUUUGGACAGUGCCAAAAGAUUCUACACUUCCUAAAGAUUCCAAAAAGGUGUGGAUCACUAAAUUUGGCCAAACAGAUUUAAAGUUGUGAUCAUUUGAAGUUACAGGGGCCUAUCUGCAAAAAGACCAUUUAAAUAUUCCGGGGGAUUAAAAUUACAUUCACACUUUAUAAACCAGGGGCCACGUGGCGCAUUAUUAUUGGACGGUACCGGUUCGGUUUAUAAAUAUAUCCGAGCCGUUAGAGCUAACUUAUAAAGAUCGGACGCUCCACAAUGCGUACCGGUUCGUUUUAUAAGUGAUCUAAUCCUAGCCAUCGAUCUAGAUCGGAUGGACGAGGGCUAGGGUUUCUUACCGGGCGGCGGCGGGCUGCCGGAGUGGGAGAAGACGGCGGCGCGGGCAUGGGCGCGGCGGCACGGGGCGCUCCGACGAGGCUGGCGACGCGGGGGUGGCCGGGAACGGCGCGGCGCGGCACGGCGGAGACGGGGGCGCGGUCAGCGGCGCUCAGGGACGGCGCGGUCGGCGCCUAGGACGAGGAAGACGCGACGGCGUGGGGCGGCUCCGGUGAGGGAUUCCGGCGGCCUGGCGGCGUGCGAGCGAGGGAAAACGGGGGGGAAAAGAAGAGGGGGUCGCGGGGGUUAUAUAGACGUGCUCGGGCGUGAAAAUGGAAAGCCGGAGGAGGAGAUUGCGGCGGCGGGCGCGCGGGGACGGCGGCCGGAAAUCACGGCGGCGGCGCGGCGCUUUCCUUCCGGGGAAGAAGCCCCUAACAGGUGGGCCCCACCUGUCAGCGGGUGCGGGCGCGCGGCGCGGGGCGGCCGGGCGGGCGGGGCUGGGCGCGCGCGGUCGGGCGCGGUUGGACUGGGCCGGUUCGGCCCAAAAUGGCCCGGCGGUCCAUUUGCUCCCUUUUUUUUUCUUUUACCCUUUUCUUUUUCUAUUUUUCUCAUUUCUUUGAUAUCUUUUGAGUUUGAACUCGAAAUUGGUCCAAAUAAAUUCCAGAAAAUUUGUAAAAUCAUGUUCUACCAAGAUAAAACUUUUGGAAGUAGUUUCUCUUCAAAAUAAAAUAUGUAAAAAUACAUUUGCCCUAUAAAUGCCUUUAGGGCCAUAUAUCUAUUUAAAUAAAAUACUUUUUCAACUCCAAAUAAUUAUCCAAAAAUUAGGGGAUAGCUCAUAUGUGCAAUAAACCCCUUUUAUAUAUAAACCUUAAUGGUUUGAAGAUCCAAAGCUCAAAUAGGUGUAAACAAAAUCUUUUAAAGCCUUUUGUGAUUCAAAUUUGAAUUCAAACAUGCAAUUGUGGCAUGAUGCUCAUGGAUGUAAUGCACAUGUAAAGGUUUGAAAUUUUGGGAUGUUACAGCCAUCCUGGUUGUCCUGGCAGUUGUUGGCGUAGUGUCCCAUCUUGUGACACUUGUAGCACUCCACCUUGCUCAUAUCCUUGUUGGCAUUGUGGUUCUGACCAUUGCCGUUAAUCCUACCAUUCCCAUUGCCAUUGGUGGGCCUGGGGCGAGCCAAUUGAUGUUGCUGCUGGUGCUGCUGAUGGUGCCGGUUCACAUUGCCACCCUGGUGGUGGUGUCCUUGGCUUCCCUGGCGGUGAUUGUGACCAUUACUUCCACUGCGGUGGCUGCUCUGGUUCCCAUUCCUGCUCAAAGAGGAACUGCUACUUCCAUCAUAGGAGGUGCGCUGCUUCUGGUGCGGGCCAGUGUGAGAGCCUCCUUGGUGAAGCCUCUUCUUGCGGCUCUCCAUUUGAGUGAGCUUACUUUCCAAAAUGAUGGCCUUGUCAAUCAAGGACUGGUAAGUGGGGAUGUAAGCAACAGCGAGCUGAACUGACAGUUCGUUGUUCAGACCGUCCAAGAACUUCUCCCUGUGCUUGGCGUCGGUGUUCACAUCGUCCGGCGCGUAGCGGGACAGCUGGUUGAAUACUUCUAUGUAUUCCGACACUGAGCGGCUUCCUUGUCGUAGCCUGUGAAAUUCCUUCUUUUUCAGGCUGAUCACUCCCGCAGAGAUGUGGGCGGUGCGGAAAGCUUCCUGGAACAUAUCCCAGGUGACGUCCUCGAUGGGGGUGGUGAUCUGAAAGUUCUCCCACCAAGAUGCUGCGCGUCCUUCUAGUAAAUGAGCUGCAAACCGCACUUUCUCUUCCUCAGUGCAGUUGAUGGUGACCAAACUCUUGUUGACUGAACGAAGCCAAUCGUCAGCCAUAAUGGGCUCAGCGGAGCUGGAAAAAGUGGGUGGGCGCACACGCAGAAAUCUGGUCAGCAUAUCCACUUGAGGUGGGUGGUGUUGCUGGUUGUUAUUGGGGUUCUGCUGGUGGUUGGCGUUGUUGUUGGCUAACUGCUGAGUGAUCAUCUGGAAGAAUUGGGUCUGUGCUGCCAAUAGCCUCGGCGUUGUUGGUGGGGUUCUGGCGUCUCGGAGGCAUCUGUUUAGGGUAGCAUAGAUGAGGAAACGGAUAGAAUAGAGCUAAGGAUAACUAAACCCCUAAACAAGAUAUAACUCAAGCAUAUCUCAAUCAUACACUCAAUCAAUCAUAAAAGGUUUCGGAAAUUAUAGCAAAAACACACAUGUUCAUGAUGGGGUACUGCCCAUAAGAAAAGAGUACAGAAAAAGCAAAUGCAAAUCGAUCUACAUUGCCAUACACAUAGCUUGUAUGGUCAAUGACUAACUCGCAAAACUGAUAACGAUAGUUAGAUAAAACUGGCCGGCAUCAACUAGUCUAAGGAAGUGUGGCUGAUGGUGCGGUCCCAUUCGCCUUCCUCUUGGAGCGGGUGUUGGUGGCAGGGUUGUCCACCUCGUGGACCUCCUGGGGCUCCUCCUCCUUAGUCAGUACCUCCUCCUGAGGCUCCAUCUCCUGAUCCUGUGGCGGAGGUGGGAACUGGACAGGCGCCGGUGCGGCUGCAGCUGCGAUGAACGCCUGGAACUGCUCAUUGAAGCUACUAAACAGGAAACUAGUCAAGUCUCUGGUUACCCCGGGUAGCAUUCCACAUUGUGACGCAGGCGCUCCCCAAAUCUCACGGGGAGUCGACCAUGGACGCUCCCGAAUCUCACGGAGAGACUCAGCGGGCCCCAUAGAAAUGGACCUAACGUCACGACAUCCGAAAACUCAAAGCAGCCCACCCAGGACGGUUCAUUGAAUUACUUGUUUUGCCAUACACUAGGAAAACCAUACUUUAAUUCAAUAACCUCACAUUGUAAUAAUACCACCUUCAUAUAUUAUCAUAGCAUAGCAUUUUAGUACUACGAUGGCGAUUGGUGGUGUGGACAUGGCAAAGGUAUCCUAUACUAUUAGGACAGAUCAUAGCUAGCAUAGAUACAAUAAUAAUCCUAAUAACGCAACUAAUAAAAUCUAGUGCAUAAUAAAAUAAUGGGAUGAUGGUCAAAGUGAACUUGCCUUGAUAGUAGUUGAUAUUCAAACACUCUUCGCAAUCACACAGUUCGCUCUCCGAAAAAACUAUACAAACAAACAAACACACACAUGCAUGCAUAAACACACAAUACAAACAAAAGAAGACAUAUGCCAUGAUGCAAUGCAAAACAUGUGACAUGAUUUGAUUUGUUUUAUUUGGGUGAUCAACUGAUCCCAAGCAUUGGUAAUUACAAAAACAAGCAUAGGGUUUUAAACAAAAAGCAAAAGUUAGGGUUUAACCCUAAAAUAAGGUUUUAUUUGCAUCUGCAAAACAAUUUAAUUCAAAAUAUUUAUUUCUUUGUCCUAAUGGACAGAGGAUAAUAAAUCAAAUUUUUGGGCACUGGUUUCAUUUAAAAAGGACCCCUAAAUAAUUAGUUAUGAUUUAAAAGGCAUUAAACUCUAUUCUGUAAAUUGACUGUGAUUCAAAUAUUCAAAUUUGAAAAUGGACAGUUCCAAAAGAGUCUACAUUUCCUAAGGAUUCCAGAAAGGUGUGGAUUAUCAAAUUUGGCCAAACAGAUUAAAAGAUAUGAUCAUUUGAAGUUACAGGGGCUUUUCUGCAAAUGUGCCAUUUCUAAUUAUUCCGGGAAUUAAAAUUAGAUUUUCAUUUUAUAAUUCGGGUGCCACGUGGCAGCUCCUGAUUGGUUGGUACCGGUUCGAUCAAAAGAAUUAAUGCGAUCUAAUUUGAGCCGUUGAUCACGAUCGGACGGACGAGGGGAGGUCGGGCUCACCUAGGGUUCCGGCAAGCGGCUCCGGCAGCGCCGCGGCACGGGCGGCGGCGGCGCGGGGUGCUCCGGCGACGCGGGCACCUCGGGGAAGCGCGCGGGAGGUGCGGCGCGGCACGGCGAAGUCGCGGAUGCGGUCGGCGUGGCUCGGGACGGUCGGGGUCGUCUCCUAGGUCGAAAACGAGGCGGCGACGCGGGCGGAACUCAGGCGAGGGGCGGCGGGCAGCUUCCGACGGCUACGGUGCACCAAAAGACGAACGGUUCGCGUCAAAAGAACGGUGAGGAGGAGAUAAAAGAGGUAGGCGGGGUCUCGUCGUUCAUGGCGUACGAGGUGUUCGGCGGCGAGCUCGAGACGGCGGCGGGCGACGGCGAGCGACGGCGAGAAAUUUCGUCGACGUGGGCGCACAAGAGAGAGGGGAACCAAGGGUGAAGAAGAGAGGAGGGCAAGGGCUUAAAAAGGAUGCGCUCGGGGCUCCGAUAGAAGGAUGGGAGAGGACAUUGCGGCGGACACGGCGCGCGUCGCGGGCACUUUCCUUACGAGGAAGACGACCUUGACGCGUGGGUCCGACGCGUCAGUGGCUCGGCGCAGGCGCGCGGGGCGCUGGGCCGGCUCGAUCCGGUCCGGGCGCAUGGAACUGGGCCGGUUCAGCCCAUUUGGCCGGGCCGGUCCGGUUUUCUAUUCUUUUUUUUCUUUUAGCCUUUUCUUUUUCUCCUUUUCUCAAUUCUUUGAUAUCUUUUGAUUUUGAACUCCAAAUUGGUCCCAAUAAAUUCCAGAAAAUUUGUAAAUCAUGUUUUAUGAUGAUUCAACUUUUGGGAAUCAUUUCCCUUCAAAAUAAAAUAUCUAAAAAUACAUUUGCCCUAUAAUUGCCUUUAGUGCUAUAUAACUAUUUAAAUAAAAUACGUUGUCAACUCUAAAUAAAACCUUAAAAAUUAUGGGAUAGCUCAUAUAUGCAAUAAACCCCUUUUAUACAUAAACCCUAUUGGUUUGAAGAUCCAAAGCUCAAGUGGCUGUAAAUCUUAGGGUUUAAAUUGAAAUAAAAACUUUUAAAGCCUUUUGAGAUUCAAAUUUGAAUUCAAAUAUGCAAUUGUGGCAUGAUGCUCAUGGAUGCAAUGCAUAUGAAAGGAUUUUAAAUUUUGGGAUGUUACACCUGGUCUGUUCGAGUGCUUGGCUCUGGCUGGAUGCGACGCAGGCCAUGGGCCCGCUUGGCUUCAUUUGUCAAAUAAAAUAAAACAAAGCCGUAAAAUCAUUGGUUUGAUCUCGAGAAAAAGGUAAAAUAAAACAAUGGUAGUUGUCAGUUGGGCCGCGUUGCUACGGCAGUAUGGAACGAUGCAGGCCGGAUGGCCAUUGCGCCCAUUUCUUUCUGCAUGUGGUGGAGGUGAGGGCUGCACGGCUCGUGGAGAGGAGCACGUGGCUGGGCUGGCCCGACGACUUCAAUCUGCUUGUUUGUGUGCACGCGUAUGCAACCCGAUUCUGCUGCUCGGCUAUUUCCGCACGUGUGCUACCGCCGGUUGAUUCGGUCUUGACGCAUGGUGCGGGGAAGCUGGGUUCCCGUGGAGUAGUGGGUGGAGGCGUUUGUCUCAUAGUCGUAUCAAUCGGGCCGACGAACGCGUGUGUUGUGUCGGAUGCGCUCGGAAGGAUAGAUGUAGACCGAACGUGAUGAAGAUUUUCGCGGGCCGGUGAUGCAUCGGGCGUGCGGUUGGCAGCGAGCAGAUGUCACCGUCUCACCGAUUCGUUCGUUGCCGUCAUAGCCCUGAGUGUCGGGUGCGGCCAAGGCGACGUGGCCUGUGCGGCACAGCCUUUGAGUACCAAGCGUGGCUGAGAGAGUCAAUGAGGCGGUGGAAGGUGUUGGAAAUAUGCCCUAGAGGCAAUAAUAAAUUUGUUAUUAUCAUAUUUCAUUGUUCUUGAUAAAUGUUUAUUGCCCAUGCUAUAAUUGUAUUGAUUGGAAACUCAAAUACAUGUGUGGAUAAAUAAACAAAUACCGUGUCCCUAAUACGCCUCUACUAGAUUAGCUCGUUGAUUAAAGAUGGUUAAGGUUUCCUAACCAUAGACAUGUGUUGUCAUUUAAUAACGAGAUCAUAUCAUUAGGAGAAUGAUGUGAUGGACAGACCCAAACCUAAACAUAGCUUUUGAUCAUGUCACUUAAGUUUAAGUUGCUUAUGUUUUAUUAUGUCAAGUAUUAUUUCUUUAGACCAUGAGAUCAUGCCACUCCCUAGUACCGGAAGAAUACUUUGUGGGCAUCAACCGUCAUCUCGUAACUGGGUGAUCAUAAAGGUGUUUUUCAGGUAUCCCAGAAGGUGCUUGUUGGGUUGUAUGGAUCAAGACUGGGAUUUGUCACUCCUUGUGACGGAGAGAUAUCUCUGGGCCCUCUCGGUAAUAUAACAUCCUAAUGAGCUUGCAAGCAUGCGACUAAUGUGUUUAGUUGCGAGGGUAUUAUAUUACGGAACGAGUAAAGAGAACUUGCCGGUAACGAGAUUAAACUAGGUAUGGCGAUACCGACGAUCAAAUCUCGGGCAAGUAAUAUAUCGCGAGACAAAGAGAAUUGGAUACUGGAUUAAUUGAAUCCUCGACAUAGUGGUUCAACCGAUGAGAUCUUCGUGGAAUAUGUGGGAACUAUUAUGGACAUCCAGGUCCCGCUAUUGGUUAUUGAUAUUUGAUCAUGUCCACAUGUUCUCGAACCCGUAGGGUCACACACUUAACGUUUCAUGUUGCUUGGGUUAGAUGAGAUAAAUGAUGAUGAUAUCGAAUUAUGAUUCGGAGUCUUGGAUGGGAUCCUAGACGCAACGAGGAGCUCUGGAAUGUUCCGGAGAUAAAGAUUUAUAUAUGGAAAGUUGUUUUCAGGGUUCUGGAAAGUUUGGAAUAUUUCCCAGUUUUGACCGGGAAGCUUCUAGAAGGUUCCGGAGGGAUCCGGAGGGUUCCACCUUGAGGCCCACCUAUCCCUGGGCUAAAUGGGCCUGUGAGGGAGCACCCUGGCCUUAAUGGGCCGAGGGGCUAGCCCACAGGGCCCAUGCGGCCAGGAGGAGAGUCCUGGCCGCCGGAGAGUCCUGGCCACGGGAUAGUCCUGGCCGGCCACGCCUCCUCUACCCCUAUAUAAAUAGAAGGGGGGGCAAGGGAGAGAGACACCCCAAGCUUUCAGUUGGAUCUCUCUCCCCUGAGCCCUCCUCUCCUCCUCUUCUCACGCGCACGGCGUAGCCCUGCCCGUGAGAAUAUUCACCAUAGUCACCACGCCGUCGUGCUGCCGGGAUCUCGUCUACCUCUCCCUCUCGCUUGCUGGAUCGAGGAAGGAGGAGACAACGUGAAGCUGAACGUGUGGAUACCAAGGAGGUGCUGUCCGUUCGGCACUGAGAUUGAUCUCAUUGAAAGUUCCACUACACCAACAACAAUCUCGUGAUCGUAACGCUUAGUGGUCUACGAGGGUAUGGUGUUCAUGAUCCCUCUCGUUACAUACAUCUAGUAUAUAUUCUUGGGUUUUCUUCCGCACUUCUCGUAGGAAAUUUUUUUUUGUUUCCUAUGCAACGAACCUAACAGAAGGAGUCGAUGUGGGGAGUCGACGGAUGGAAUCGCAUCGGACGCUUGGUCUACACGUGUUCCGUGCUGCUUUAGGGCCAGUUUCUUUUAGCUUCGUGAACCGGCUUCUCCGAGAAGCUGCUUGGCAAGCUGCUGUAAGUUUUCGAUGAAAUCUUUACUACUCCGUCUGCCAAAUUGAAUGGUCUAUUCAUUCCAAAACCAAAAAAAAUUAUAAAAAUUCGGUAAAAGCCAAGAAGUUUUAUAUUUUUAUAUUAUAAACCUUCGAUUCUAAAAUAAAAAUUAUUCUACAUUGAAUGGAUAGCUACAGCAAUAAAUUUGGAUCAGCCUUUCUACCCCCCCUGCACCUACGUUGAGCAGGUACCUUUAGGUACCCACACAAUACUUAACCCUAUUUUUGAUAUUGAUAAGAGUGCUUAUUAUAAAUGAAUUCUUGCAAUUUUUUGCAAGAAUUCAUUUUUGCAUUUUUAGGUACCAAAAUAAACAAAACCCAUCCUAGUGGAUCUGUGUGGUAAGGAAAAACUGGUAAUCUAUUCCUUCACUAAUCGGGGCUAAAAGCCCUGAAAUCCAAAAUGCCAAAAUCGGAAUAAGGCUUGCUAUUAUUAGAAAUGUCCAAAAAAUAUCAUAUUCGUGAAGCAGAAACAUAAUGUACUCCCAUUAAUGUAGAAUAGACGAGACUUAAAUUAAUCAAUUCAAUUAUGCAUUGUCAAUUCAUCCAGAACUUAUCUCUUUUCCUCGGGGAGAAGUCUUAUGUUAUAUAUGGUAAUCGCCUUGCCUAUAGUGCCCGAAUUCUCUCUCGAACUUCCUAUUAUUCAAAUAAAAAGAAAAAAAUAGCAGAAAAAAAAAUGACAGAAAAAAAAAUAGGCGAGAAAAGAAAAACCCGAGAGAAGCAAAAGUAACUUUCGAAGGUUUAGUUACGGAAGCCCUACCCAACGGAAUGUUCCGCGUUCGUCUAGAGAAUGACACCAUCAUCCUGGGCUAUAUUUCAGGAAAGAUUCGGUCUAGUUCUAUACGAAUACUGAUGGGGGAUAGGGUCAAAAUUGAAGUAAGUCGUUAUGAUUCAAGCAAGGGACGUAUCAUUUAUAGACUUCCCCAUAAGGAUCCGAAGCGUAUCGAAGACUCGAAGGAUAGCGAAGAUUUGAAGGAUAGCGAAGAUUUGAAGGAUUAGGUUUUUCUUUUUUCUAGAAUAAUAAAUGCAAAGUUCAAAAAUUACAGCGAAGAGACUUAUUUUUUCCAAAAGAUUAGAUUCAUGGUUUAAGAAAGGAUACGGAAAUAUGAAAAUAAGAGCUUCCGUUCGUAAAAUUUGUACAAAAUGUCGACUGAUUCGUAGGCAUGGCCGAAUUAGAGUCAUUUGCUCCAACUCGAAACAUAAACAAAGACAGCAUCUUUCGAAAAAGCACUUUACUUUCUAAAAAGUAAAAAAAAGAAUACCUGCGGGAAUGUUUAAAUUAAUAAUAAAAUAAUUUGAAAUAAUUAAAGUAAAGGGUAUAUUUUACAAUCCCACAAGCCUCUUAUCCAUUCUCGUUCGCUCGUGGCGGGGGAGUAAGUCAAAAUAGAAAAAACUCACAUUGGGUUUAGGGAUAAUCAGGCUCGAACUGAUGAAAUGUUCUUCAUAAUUUUAGUAUAACUCUUUGUAAUAGAAAUGAGCCAUUUCCACAUAGGGAAAGUCGUGUGCAAUGAAAAAUGCAAGCACGGUUUGGGGAGGGAUUUUUCUCUAUUGUAACAAGGAAGAAUUAUCUACUCCAUCCGACUAGUUCCGGGUUCGAGUCCCGGGCAACCCAUAUGGAAAAUUGAAAAGAGGAAUCUGAGUUUUUAAUUUUGACUCACUUCAUUUACAAUUUUUUUUGGUUUUGGGCGUGAAGCAGUGUCAAACCAAAAUACCCAAUAAGCAUAAGCAUUAGCUCUUCCUAAAAAGGAGGUGAUCCAGCCGCACCUUCCAGUACGGCUACCUUGUUACGACUUCACUCCAGUCGUAAGCCUAGCCUUAGGCAUCCCCCUCGUUACGGUUAAGGGUAAUGACUUCAAACAUGGCCAGCUCCUAUAGUGUGACGGGCGGUGUGUACAAGGCCCGGGAUUCCUGUACUACCCCUUGUUGGUACGAAGGGACGGAGGAGGCUAGGUUAGCCAAAAGAUGGUUAUAGGUUUAACGACACAAGGUGACCCUGCUUUUUCAGGGUAAGAAGGGGUAGAGAAAAUGCCUCGAGCCGAGGUCCGAGUACCAAGCGCUGCAGCGCUGAAGUAUGAGCCCCGUGGACUAGCGAUUGCUGUUUCUUCUAUUUGGUUUGCGUAUUUUCUCAUUUUCUAUUGAAUCGGAUUCUAAGUCCUACAACUCUAAGUUGUAUAUUCAUACGCAUUUCUAACACUUUUUUGCAACCAAGCGGAUUAUCUGGAACCAUGCAUGAAUUGAGCUAAGCGGAAAAAAAGACUAUUUCCAAAACUAGUCAAUUCAAUGAUGACCCUCCAUAGAUUCACCUAUAUAAGCUGCGGCCCUCCCCCAGCUUUCUGGAGAAGCCGCCAGCUAAAUUUGAUUACCUAAUCAAACUAGUUUGGAUGCCUAGCUAAAUCUGAGAUACGACUUAUGUAGGAAGUUAGGUGAGGACAGUUUUUAAAAGAAAUCGGUUCUAAAAGAACAAAAGAACUCAGCCUUGGUUGCUUUGCGGAGACCCAGCGAUGCGUCGCCGCGUCCCGAAGAUCGAUUGAUUUUUUAAAGCUCUUGCCAUUGCCGUUGGUCGUUGCUGCAUGCGUGUGUCAUCUUGACCUGCUUACACAAGCAAAAAAUCCUUUUGAUUAGUUUUUGGCUGCAUGCUUUUUAAUUAAGUACCCCACGUGAGGAUUUUUUAAGCCUGGUGCUCCAUGCGACACAACAACAUUACGAUUUGCUUCGUGUCUAUUUGUCAUUGCUCAAAUUAUAUUACUUCCUCUCAUCUAUAUUACUUGUCACAAAUUUGUCUAUAUAGCAUAUAUUUUGACACGUUUCGUUCUAUAGAUAAAUGGGUACGUAAACAAAGUUGUGACAAAUAUUAUGAAUCAGAGGAAGUAACAUAUUUAUGGAUCCAGUUAAUAAAGAUAGAAUCAAAUACUACUUCGGACAAUGAGAAAUUAAUACUUCCUCUGAUUCAUAUAAUAAUUGUUUCAGAUUUAGUACAACUUUAUACUAAGGUAGUACAUUAUCCGAGACACUCAUUAUGUAUGGAAUGGAGUAAAAAAUAUUUAUCUCAAUUAAAAAUCGUUGUGCAACCAUUUCUUCACAAAACGGCACGCUCGAACAACUAAAUUGAAUCGGAGAAAGUAUUGUUUAUUUUUGCACCAAAACUGAGCGUUAGUAUACGUUCGAAAGUAGAUCGUCAUGUCGGUUCUCUGCUUGCUACACUAACUGCUAGCGCCGAAGGGCUUGAAUGUGCAGUUGUGCUGGCUUUGCUUCAUUGGAACAGGUGGGUUGUUCACGAGCCGUUAGACUGAAAAGGGAGGGCAUCCGGUAGGUGUAAGUUUGCCUCUAACUUUGCUUCAGCAAGUUAGAGAAUCCGCGCAGCUCUCCGUGAGGGUUAGUGGCGGAGACAAGAAUCAAAUAUUUUGACUACAAGGGCUUUUUUUUACUAGAGUUUUUGAAUGUUUUGUAGGAUGUUAUCCACUUCAAAUUGAAAAAUUCUAAAAGCCCCAAAAUGUUGUUUGGUACGAAGGGAUUAGAGGGGAUCAUCCCUAAUUUAUCCCACAAUACAAUCCAUUUUUUUACGAAGUUAAAACACUUCUCAUACUAAUGAAAAAACACUGGUGUUUGGGUUUUGAGAGUUUUUGUUGAACACCCAAACCCCUCAAAUACCAAAACACCAAGGAAUACAAAAUACACUAACACCAAAUAAGGCCUAAGGGGGAGGUGGCGUGGGAACAAAAGUCUGAAUCAAUAAGAUCAAUCCAAGUAAAGGCAAUAGCUCAACUGUAACAAACAAGUUUCCACUUAACGAUUCUGUAAUAGCACAAGUAUGUAAAUGUCUAAGUUAUUCCAUUGAAAAGAAGGUGAGCAAUAAUGUACCAAAACCUCUGUCCAGAAAGAUCCUAGGUCGGCGAAUUCAAAUGUACCCAAUACCAUAAAACAAAUUGAAAUAUCACGUACUCCCUCCGGCCGGAAUUACUUGUCGAAAUAUUACAUGUAUCUAAACGCUUUUUGCACAUAGAUACAUCCGUAUUUGGGCAAAUUUGAGACAAGUAAUACCGGUCGGAGGGAGUACUAUAAUCUUCUAAGAUAAAUAACUACCUAAACAUUCCGAAGGGUAACAUUUCAUCUCAAAUUCGACCUGCAAGCAUGAGAAAGAGUCUUUUACCACAUGAAACGAGAAAAAAAAAAGAAAAUGAAGAAUAAACAAUAGGCCCAGUGAACAAAACAACUAGGUACUCUACGAAAUGCUGUAAAGAAACCUACAUUCAUUAACAGCACAUGCCACUAGCACAACAUUUCCAGUUGUCUGUCCCUUGGUCAAUGUUGAAAACACACAUAAGGACAGGGCCAUAAUGACCAGUAUAGUAGUAUUAAUUUAUAACAAUACAUUCAGCAACAGUGAAUAUGCAUUUCACGUUGAAAGAACAUCAUAUGAAGUAUGAGUGAGUGCGGAUUAUAUCUUACUGAACCCAUCCUCUCAUAAGGAAAAAAUUAAAGGAACGAGAAUGACAAGAAAAAUGACAUUUUCAGUUAUUAUCCUAUGAGGAAUUUAUGGUUGUUUUUGAUAAUAAACUUUAAGACAAUUACACAUUCCAUUAUAUAUGAGAGGACUGAGUUCAUACAAUACAUUUGAGCAGAAAGAUUGAUGGUUCAUUCAUGUUAAAGAUGAUGGCUUUGCACUUCGUGACUUGAACUCGUAGCAAGCACCAUUACAUAUCAGACAAACAAAUAGAAUGUCAUUGACUAAUUUCACAUAUAAACGAGCAUAACAAACAUGGCCGAAGUAUAAAUAUUCAAAAUAUUCAUGUAUGUAUUCCAGUGCAUGUGUUAGCAAUGUAACUAAAGAAGGGUGAAGGGUUGCAGACAUGUUGUUUAUUAUUCUAAGUUUAUGGUUAGAGGCUUAGAACAAAAGCAAUUUGGCAGGAGAACACACUUUUAGAUUACAUUACAUAUAACAGAAAAGAAUGGACUUCAGAAACAUUAACACCCAAUUUUGUGUACUGGGUCAAUGAGAACUAGAUAAACAAAACUAACGAUUUUGUUAAUAAUAGUGUACGUUGGAUAACAACUUGAUGAAUUUACCCUGGGCGAGGAAUUUGCAUGAUAUGCUAAAAUCGAUGGUUAAGGACCCUUUUCUAGAGCCCCGUAGAAAAUGGACCUAGAGUGUUUUUGGAGGCCAAGCUAAGGAUUAUCAGUGCCGUCCAUCUCCGUCUGACAUGCAGAAGCCAAUAUGAGGUGUAAUUCAUGAAUAUGACAGUUCAUUGUGUUCCUAUACUAGCUUUGAGGGGGGCAAGGGUCCCUGUGCUGCUAAGUGCACAUGAUACGCUGUUAGACGGAGACAUGAACUAAUACGGCUUGGUUUUCAAAAUGGUCCACCAAUGCAGGAGCACAUCUGUGUGGCACUUGUUUUUUAACCCUUCCACAUGACAGGUAGGAGCAGUUACCGAGUACCAGCAAACGGACCAGUUCCUCCCACAAAACCGACCAGCCCCUCCAACAAACCCCCUGGUCGGCACCCAACCCUCAAGAAGGCUCCAGCAGCUGGGUUCUUGCCUGUGAAUCUGGAGUUUUGACGCAGGGGUUUGCAGUUGGCUGAUUUUGCAUGGAGUUCUUGCCACACAUCAGGACGGGAGGUUAGUCCUUUGCCUGUGUAUUCCGGCUCUGUGUUUGUCCCAGUCAUUUGGCUGUCAUGGGUGUCUUGCCUGAUUUUAGAUCUGAUCGUUGCAGCACUUUGCCUGUGUAUUUGCAAGGUCAUGAUUGCCCCGGUUUGACGUUGGUGGAACAUCCUAUUGGGUCCUUCCCAUGCAUGUGGAUUCUUCCACCGGGCAGAGGAAAAUAAAUAGUUCAUGUUAUUCUUACACAAAUAUUUUGAACUGGCUCACAGGCUAACCAUUUCAGCAAGUAGACUGACGCCAAUGUAUUGGAAAUGGCCCAGGUUGCAGAUCAAUUGCAACCCCUCGCAUGUGCGAUGGGCAUAUUAUGGGCCAGGGGCCCUCGGGAUUAAAUGCUCAGCCAAGAUAUAUCCAAAAUGGAAAUAUAAAAUACAAUGAUUUUGCCCACAAAUACGUCAGGUAUAUAUGCUUCCUAUGUUAAUCACAAGACAAUCGACUGGGCCAGGUAACGAGCUAGUAGCUACCUAUAGUUCAAGCACCAAAGCUGUUUUUUCACUAUAACUACAUGCUUUUUACGUUGACCAUCGGUAAUAUCAAAUUAUCAAUGCACCUUGAUUACAUUGACAUUUCAGGCAUGAUUAAGUAUACUGUACCAGAAGAAUUCUAUCAAUUCAAGUGGAUAUUCAGUCUACAGGGAGAACAAAACCAGAGAAUAUAUAUUUAUUAGCUCGAAAGCACCAAUAUGGCUAGACCUCCCGUGCCGCCGUGCGGGACACGCAGGGACAUGCCCCGACACGGGUGUCCCCAAGUGUCCCAGAUUUUUAAUUAAAAAAAUUUAAAAUUCGAGACACGAGCAAGACACGGCUACGGGGGAUCGGGAUGCUCGACAAAAAAAACCUAACCUGCAGGAUCAGGAAUCAUUCGCCACAGCCGUGAGGCCCGUGACCUACCUCAAGCGCUCCUUCGACGCUGCGCGGCCGCCGGAUUUUCCAGAUGCAGCGCCUCGAGACUCGGUGCCGCUGGUUCCACCCUCCAGCGUCCAACCCCAGGAUCCGGCAGCAGGUAACCUGGUAGCUCUUCCCUCUUCUCACUUCCCUCUUCUCUACCCCUCCGAUUCUCAGAAUCCCUCUUCCCCUUCCUUUGUUUUUUGUGAACCUGCUGAUGCCUAAUGGGGCUAUAGUGUUCUCACAUAACAAUCUACGCCCAAUGAGGCAUAACGUAUACCAUGAGAAUUUUGCAGGAAACCCCCUGAGAAUUUUGCAAUUUGCUAUUUUUGCAGGAUUAUUAUACAUUAUUGGAGGCAUAGGCAGCAGACACGCAACAAUGGGGCACAAUUUCUUUUACUAAUGAGAUUUUUUAAUUAUUUAAAUAUAUAUAUAUAUUUGCUGUGUGCCCAUAUGACUGUUUUUAGAAAAUGAUGUAUCCUAAAUCUGCGUCGCCGUGUCCGUGCAAUAUAGAUUAUUCGUAACCAGGGGUUGGUUUGCAGUAAUACAUGUAGCCAAGGUCAAGCUACUGGAGCAAAAUUUAGCAUGUUAUUACAGUAUUAAGAAGUAGAAUAGGCAUGGACAUUAUUAAUGUUCUGGAUAAAAUUAAAUUAAUUGUAAUGUUUAAUUGGUUUCUUUACUAAGUGAUUCUAACACAGCAAAUAAGAAACUAAUGGUGUAUGUGAACAAUUUUUGAGCCAGGUUUGCCACUUUUCAGUGGCAUUAUAAUUUACAAUUAUAAAGUACAUUGGUGGCAUUGACAAGUGGCUAAAUCCCUUUUUAACAGAUAUUGUGUUGGUAGUCUGAUAAGGUCUGACAAUAAAGUUAAUCAGUUAGAAGCUUAAAGCUAACCCAAAGCUUGGUUGUAGGGAUGCGAUAUAAAUCAUGGUAGAAGCAGAAAAGUCAGUUUGUGAGAUAUCCCAUGGAUUAUGAUAGGGAGCACAAGCAAAGCUAAGAACAGACACAGAUCGAGCGAUAUUAUCACAAGCACUGGACAAGUAUCACAGAACAAGUAUUGCUACCUUCUUGUUUAUCGCCAAAUCUUCCUUUACCUGUAUCCAAUUCUUCAACGACUGCAGUUUUUUUAGAGAGCAUGCUGGGGAAGCAUCACACUGUAACCGCCUCCCUCUAUCAUACCAUAAUAAUUCAUAAUUUAUGAAAGCAAAAGAUUUGCUAAAUGUUAAUCUGUUCUAUUUCUAUAUGGUCAUUGGUCAAACCCAAUAAAAUCCUAGAAUCCUAACCAAGCAAACCAAGAAACACUACACGCUCAAUAUAUCAGGGGAAAAACAAACAAGACAAGGAUGACGUAACUAAUCGGAUAGAACUUAACCAGUCAAAGAAGAGAGCAGCGAAGUCGUGCGAUGAGAUCCCGGGCGUGAUCACUGCGUCUUGCUCCGCGUGGGUUGCUUUUGGGAGGCCAGCUUGUAGAUCCAGUACACCUGCGACAAGAGAAAGAAGGCGUAAAAAGGUAAGAUGGUCAAAUCAAGUAAUCAAUCGAGCGAUCCAGUGGGAAAGGGAACCAAAUCGGAAGGAUGGGAGCUGGGGAAACUUGAUCGCGUACGAGGGCUAGGACAUGGACGGCGCCGAGGACGAUGACGAAGAGCGGUACAGAGUCGAGGACGUGAGAGGCGGUCCCUGGCUGCGGCGCCUGCUGGGGCAUCUUCGGCGGCGGAGGGGAGGCAAAGGUUUCUAGAUUGGGGGUUCCUUUCCUCUCCUUCUAUAGAAGAGAGAACAUUGGAACGAAGGAGCCGCCUGAGUAGUCGAUAAGAAGAAAAGUACAGAAAACUUGCUAAAAGCUGAAUUGGCUGUAGUUUAGUGGUGAGAAUUCCACGUUGUGGCCGUGGAGACCUGUGCUCUAAUCCCAGCAGCCACAACAAAUCAUUUUUCUUCUUUGAAACCUUUUUUAUAUUAUUUUUUCUCUAACUAGAUCCCUAUAAGGGCAUGUACAGAUCAGCAAAAUCUUACGUGACAGCGUUAAGAAAAGACUGACGUGACAGCGUUAAGAAAAGACUGACGUGACAGCGUUAAGAAAAGACUGACGUGACAGCGUUAAGAAAAGACUGACGUCACCCCAUUGUACACGUCCUAAUGUUGCGCAUGGCUUUUGUCGACUUAACAAAGUUUGUAGCUCUGUUUCUAUUUUGUCUUGAGUGUAGGGGCAACAUCUUACGUGGCAGCGUUAAGAAAAGGCUGACGUCACCCCAUUGUACACGUCCUAAUGUUGCGCAUUGCUUUUGUCGACUUAACAAAGUUUGUAGCUCCGUUUCUAUUCUGCCUUGAGUGUAAGGGCCACUCCAGCGGGGAGAUCCAUUUGGACUGAAUCGGUCCGUUCGGAGCAAAAUAGACAAAACGCGUCCCACAGCAGGGCGACCCAUUUCCGCUGGUGUCCGGAUUUCGGUCCGCCGCGACCCAUUUCCAUCCGCUAUUUUUUUAGAUAAUACGAAUUAUUUAAUCAUUUUUGAAAAUAAUAUGUGUUUUAAAAAAUUUCAAAAAUAAUACGCCCGGCCACGCUGCCCGCAAGCGGACAGGCCCCUGUCGGCUACGGCCAGGCGCGCCGGCACCUUUCCUUUUUUCCUCUUUUCUUUCUUCCUCGGAACUUAUCAGCUAAUCAGCUUCACAGAAGCUGAGUAGUUGCAUGAUCAAUGCAAACGUGGGAUGGGCUCCUGCCCAUUUUGUCUCCCCCAUUAUCCAUCGAUUCGGUACAAUUAUUGUGAACUAAAACACAUGACAACUUCGGUAAUACUGCAAUUCGUGCUGGUUACAGAACUAAGACACGACUAAGUUAAUAUACGUCGAUAAUACCGCAAUUGGACUGAAAUUAAGAGGGAAAAUACAAUUGAAACACAGUAUUAGCACUACUGACUCCACUUAGGCCAUUUUCCUGUCUUAUCGCCAUGUUCUUCUCCAGCAUUUGCCAUAGCGGCCUUUUCUCUUUUCCUCUCAAUUUCCUCCUCAUGGGCCUCCUUGCGCCUUCAUUCCUCUUGUAGCAUGCGAUGCGCUUCCUCCUUGUUCUCCCUCUCUAACUCUCGGAAGUAACGCAGUUGUUCCUCCCUAUGUUCUUUGAGCUCUCUCUCUUCCUCUUAUUUCUCCUGGGCUGUAGCCUUUGCCGCACGCCUGUCCGCGUGGAAAUGCUGGCAUGCACGUCGUGACCUUGUGUUAAUUUCUUCCACCGCCCAAUCUGGCAUCUUCGUGUCAAUCCAUCGAUACCACAUGCAUAGGGGCAGAGGAGACUACAAAAUAGUCUAAGUGUCGCACCAGUGGCCCACGGGGUCCCACUGAUGCUGGACGCGCGCGUGGGUUGCAAGGGUCAACAUCCUGCAAGGCCAGCUUCCCGGGCGGGGUAAGCCUGGGGAGUUUCUCCCCUGCAAGUCCAAUCGGCAGGCCUCUGUGAAGACACUUACUUGCAAGACCAUCACUCUAGAGGUUGAGAGCUCAGACACCAUUGACAAUGCCGAGGCCAGAAUCCAAGGCAAGGAGAGCAUUCCCCUGCAACCAUGGAAGCCCCGCAACUAGGGCUCCCCCAGCGAGCCCCUUGCCCAUGAGGUAGGUGGAAAGCAAAGCAUUAAAUUCACAGGCAAGGCUAGAGCGGCGGGUCUAGUCUUGCACGGUAAGGCUACGGCGGGUAACCUACAACACGUUUUAUUCUCUACGUAUAGUGGAUCAUUCGUUGCAUGAAGCACAGCGUGGCUCGGCCUAGCCACCUCACCCGUUCCCUCGACACGCAGUUAGCAAACGUGUCGUGUUCUAAACAUUGGCACCUGUGGUAUCCCCUUGAGUAUAAAAGGAGGACCAGGCCUUUAGCAACUCGAGUAGGAGAGUUCGGGAAGCAUCCUAGCAACCUGUAAUAUUUCCUAACCAUAGUGAAUACAAACACAGAAGCAGGAUGUAGGGCUUUACACCUCCGAGUGGCCCGAACCUAGGUAAAAUCCUUAGUCUCACUCUUCGUGUCAUCGGCCACACCGGCGAUCGCCGAAGCAAUCCCCACCGCCCACCACCGAACUAAAAAGGGGGUGCUCAGUGCCCCCGGUGUCGGAGUUUCGUGCUCCGACAUCUGGAGCGCCAGGUAGGGGGGCAUGCGGAAAGUUUCUGGUGACCGCCGGUGUCAUGGGCAACGUCUCCAUCAGCUCUGUCUUCAUCAGUAACCAAGCUUGUCGUCAUACCAUUGAAGAAGCCUGACGACCCCAAGGGUGUUGACCGGCAAGACCACCUGCGAGAGAGUGGUGAUCACCGUCGCUCGCGCUAGAGCUGUAGUGCGUCACACCCGUCACACACUAAGUCACUUGCCAAUCAGUUGGAGCUCGGGGAUGGGCAGUCGAACGACGACGGGCAGGACCCAUCGCCACCGCCUGCCCGGACCCGGGAAGAAGCCCUUGCGGCAGCAAGCACAAUGGUGCGGUAUGAGCCGCCGAAAGGGACAUCAGCGCAUGAUGCGUGGAGUGCCGAGCUCAUGGCGCUCCUGGAUUUCACCAGUCGCCGCCCAGAGGGACCGCGCGGCGCAUCAGACUCUCGCUCCGGGAUGUGCCGCGGGCUCUACUCGGGGCGGGAUCGGGAGCCGGGUCACGGGGAGCAACUCCGUGCCUUAGUUCAGCCCCCUCCACCGACGGGGGAGUGCACCGACGUCGGGUUCGGUGACGGCUCCGCCAACUCAUCGUCGACGGUCGUUCCAGAUGAUGCCAGACACGUCCUCAACACGCGACGCGGGGAGGACCUGUGCCAGCGACUGGAGCGCUAGUGCCAGCGGGAGGUUGAGCGCAACCGGCCUGAGGAGUAAGGCGAUGUCCCGCUCGACAUCGACGACGGUUGCGUCGCGCUCACUCGUGAGCUGCGGCGGGUGACAUGGCCAUGAAAGUUCCGAGCGUCCGUGCUCGGUACGUACGACGGGACUGUGAAUCUCAAGGAUGGUCAUGCACACCAUUGGCGCCGACGACAAGGUCAGAGCCAACUGCUUCCCGAUGGUCCUGAAGGGAUCAGCGAGGACCUGGUUACUAAACUUGCCUGCUGGGUCCGUUACUUCAUGGGCGGACCUGCGCGAGCAGUACGUGAACGUGUUUCAGGGCGGUUACAAGCACCUGGGAACCAUGGCUGAGCUGGACACCGUGGUGCAGAAGCCAGGGAAGACGUUGCGGGUGUUCACCAAUCGCUUCUCCAACAUCUAUUGCAUGCUUGAGGCGGAGGCGGCCGCCAUCAUCAACACUUGCGCCAUCAAUGUCCGCGACCCCAAGAUGCGUGAGAAGCUAAACAUGUAUCGGAUUCGGACUACUCGGGAGCUAUACGCUCUCAUGCACAAGGGUGCGAUGGCCGACCAAGGGCGCUUGGCACCUGAAUUCGCGGCAAAAGCAGCAGCAAAUCUCCUCGAGAGCUCCCAGAAGAAGGGCUCUCAAAAGCGUGCCGGGAAGCAAGUGCUUGCCGCGGAGCAGGGGCUCCACCGAGGCCAACAAAGAAGGCCGCAUCCGCUGGCGCGUCGGGUAGCAAGUCGGCAAAGGCGGCCCGCUGCCCCAUCCACGCCAAUGCCACGCACGACGCGCAGGGUUGUCGGAUCUUGCAAAACAUGAGGGAGGAGCGUGAGCAGCGCCACGAGGAACGCCAAGCUGCUGGGGCCUGCUUCAACUACGGCGACAACGGGCAUCUCUCCCAUGAGUGCCCGAACAACCCCCGCAACGGAGCUGGCCGCGGUGGCGAUGGUAAUGGCGACAAAGGGGAAGCCUUGGAUGGGCGCGGCCAAGGCCACGACGGGAAGGACCGACUUCCCCAAGGAUGCAACAAGGCUCGUCCUGAUGACCAGCGUGAAGACGACUGCAGCGAUGACGCCGACGAGCCCGUCUUCCAGGAGCCGCGUGACAUCGCCUGCAUCUAUUCGGGGGGGGCUACGCUCUCACAUCCCACACCGCGGUGAAGAGGCUCACCCUCGAUGUGUGUGCCCUACUCCAGAUCAUGGAGGCGCAAUAGCCGUUGAGGUGGUCGCACGUACCGAUCACCUUCAACUCUGAUGAUCACCUUACUCGCCAUUUGGUGUCAGGGGUCUUGCCCCUCGUGGUGUCACCGAUCAUUAACAAUGUGACGGUGACCAUGGUCUUGGUGGACAACGGGGCGAGUCUCAACCUUGGUAGAAAAGCUUCAGCUGUCGCUGGAGCAGAUGAAGCCCACCGACUCAUUCCGGUGGAUUAACUCCGGAGUGGUGCAGCCCAUAGGACGAAUCACGUUGCCGGUAACCUUCAGGCCCCGUGAGGUUUUCAAGGUCGCCGCCGUGGCUGAUCUCAGGGACGUCGACGUUGCCUGGAGCGAGGAUUCACUUGCGGGUUAUCAACCCGCACCGAAGAAGGCACGUGCUUCCCCUAGGCAGGUUCCCAGGGCUUGCAAGCUGGCAAUGAGGCGCACACCGUUUCCAUCUGUGCAAGCAUCAAUGCUAAAUAGGAAAGCGCCCUCAUCACCUUCCUUCUGGGAAACUCUGACGUGUUCGCUUGGGAGCCGUUAGAUCUUCCCGGGGUCCCUAGGGAGGUGAUCGAGCAUCGGUUGGCGGUGCGCCCGGACGCUCGCCCCGUCAAGCAGAAGGUGCCUCGACAAGCACAAGAGCGUAAGGACUUCAUCAAGUAGGAUGUGGACAAGCUCAAGGAUGCUGGGGCAAUCAGGGAAGUGUUGUAUCCCCCCUGUUUAGCUAAUCCUGCUGUAGUUCCUAAGGGUGAAAAUAAGUUGUGCAUGUGUGUAGAUUAAUUUUACCGAUCUUAAUCGCGCAUGCCCUAAGGAUCCUUUCCCUGUACCCCGCAUUGAUUAAAUAGUAGACUCCACAACGGGUUGUGACUUGUUGUGCUUUUUGCAUGCUUUCUUCGGCUACCAUCAGAUUAAGAUGGUAGUCGACAAUGAGGAAAAGACAACAUUCAUCACCCCGACUGGCUGCUACUGUUAUACAUGCAUGCCUUUCGGGUUGAAGAAUGCGGGCUCAACAUUUUAGCGUGUUAUACGCGAGUGUUUGGGACCCCACCUAGGUCACAAUGUUGAGGCCUACAUGAACUGCCGGAGACGUUUGACAACCUCCGUAGGAUUAAGCUCAAGCUCAACCCUGAGUGCACGUUCGACGUGGACUCGUGCCAGCUUCUGGGCUUCUUGGUGUCACACCGGGGGAUCCAAGCCAAUCCAAAGAAGAUCGAAGCGAUGGAGAGGAUGGAGGCACCCCGCAUGGUCAGAGAUGUCCGGCGCCUCAACGGUUGAGUUGCAGCACUCAGGCAUUUCAUCUCAAGGCUGGGCGAGCGAGCCCUCCCUUUCUUCACGGUGAUGAAGAAGAAGGGUCCAAUCAACUAGACCCCUAAGGCUGAAGCGGCGUUCCAGGACUUGAAGCAGUACCUAAAGUCGCCACCGAUCCUCCUCGCCCCCAAGCCGGGCGAGCCGUUGUUGUUUUACCUGGCAGCUUCGGAUCAGGUGGUGAGCUCCGUGCUCGUCGCCGAGAGGGAGGAAGAUGUCCCGGGGGUUGAGGCUGCGGGACAGGGGGCUACUGGAGGUCCCGCCCAACCCCCGACAAUCACUCCGACCCCGGGAACUGAGGGAGAGCCAGUACAGGCUGCCCCCCACAAACGGCUAGUGCAGCACCCCGUGUACUUUGUCAGCACGGUGUUGCGCGAUGCCCGUGUGCAGUAUCCACAGGCCCAGAAGCUGUUUCUCGGGAUCUUGCUCGCUUCACGGACUCUGCGCCAUUAUUUACAGGUGCACAACAUCACGGUGGUGUUCGGGUUCUUCUUGGAGCGAGCCCUCACCAACCGUGAAGCCACUGGAAGAGUGGCCGAGUGGAAAAUGGAGCUGGCGGAGUUCGUUCUGCGCUUCACUAACACCAAGCAUCAAGAGUGGACCUCGACAGGCGUCGAAGAUGAGGAGCCCGAGACAAGCCUUCCUAGCAAGCAGGAUGAAGGGCGCUGGGUCAUGUACUUCGACGGUGCUUUCAGCCUACAAGGUGCAAGCAUUGGGGUAGUGAUCGAGUCGCCCACUGGAGACCAGCUCAAGUUCGUGAUACAGCUAGACGUUGGCAAUUCCACCAACAACACUGCAGAGUACGAGGGAUUGCUAGCCGGGUUGCGAGCAGCCAUCACACUUGGUAUGAAGCGCCUGGUGGUUCGCGGGUAUUCACAACUCGUGAUAAAUCAGGUCAACAGAGACUACAACUGCCCUCAAAUGGCAGUGUACGUGGAGGAAGUGCGCAAGUUGGAGCAUAAGUUCAAUGGACUGCGCUUUGAGCACAUCAAGCGCAAGGAUAACUUCGUUGCUGAUGAACUGUCCAAGCUUGCCGCGGAAAUGCAGCGAGGUGCCUGCGGGAGUAUUUGUGCAGAGGCAAACGAAGCCUUCUGUUGCUCCCAAGUCGGUUGCCGGGUGACGAAGUUGUGACUUCGACAAUGCCCAUGUUGAGGGGCUUUGUGUUUAGGGAGAGCGACAUGCGUGUGUGUUGGUGAUCCCGUCGCCUAACAAGGACACAGGACACACAGUUUUACCCAAGUUCGGGGACCUCAGAAGGUAAUACCCGUACGUCCUACUUGUCUGAUUUGGUAUUGAUGGAGAGAUUACAAUGUUGCCGUAGAGGCUAUGGUGCGCAGAUCAGAUCUGGCGUGUAUGAGAGACGAGAUAUGUCUCGGGGGAGAGGGUUGUGAGUUGCCCUCCUUGGCUCCCCCUCCUGGUCCUUUAUAUAUGUAGGAGGCCAGGUCUUGGGUGGAGUCCAAGUCGGUUACGAUAGAGAGAUAUACUAUGUUUAAGAUUCCUUAUCUUGAGUCGCAAGAUUAGGCAUUUGGACUCCUAGAGUCAUGGUAGGCCUCCAAGUGGGCUUCAUGCUGGGCCGUAGUGGGUAUACCAAAGAUGGGGACCCAAGUGGUCAUAACCACGUCACCGGGGAAGCCCCACGGCAGCCCGAGGAAAACCCGCAGCCGCGGAGGCCCAUGCUGCUGAAAUGGUAGCAUACUUGAGCAGGACCCCCCCUCCUUGGGUUGCGGACAUCAUCCACUACCUCAAGGAUGGAACCCUUCCAGACAAAGACGUUGUCACGGGAUGAGUGGCCUGACAAGCAAAGAUAUACGCCCUGGUAGAUGGGGAUCUCUACCGGAGGCAUGCAAACGGAGUUAAGCUCCUCUACGUGCCCUAAGAAGAGGGGCGUGCGCUGUUGGAGGAUAUACACCAAGGCACAUGUUCGCAUCAUGUGGCCUCCAGAGCGCUGGCCAGGAAAGCAUUCCGGCACGGCUUUUACUGGCCUACAACACUAGCCGAUGCCGAAUAGUUGGUCAAGACGUGUGAAGCGUGUCAGUUCCACGCAAAGAAGCACAACCAGCCGGCUCAGGCCCUGCAAGUCAUCCCGUCCUCAUGGCCUUUCGCGGUCUGGGGGCUGGAUAUCAUCGGCAAGAUGACACGAGCAGUUGGCAGCUACGAGUACCUCCUGGUCGCCGUCGACAAGUUCUCGAAAUGGGUUGAAAUGGAGCCUGAUGAAGUUGGGACUUCGACAAUGUCCAUAUUGAUGGACUUAUAUCUAGGAAAGACGUAGGCAAGUGCGUCUAGGCAGCUUCUAGCUAGGUUGGGUGUAUCCUUGGCUUCCCCUCCUGGUCCUUUAUAUAUGCAGGAGGCCAGGUCUCAUGUAGAGUCCAAGUCGGUUACAACGAGGAGAUGUAGUCUAAUUAAGCUUAUUUGUCUUGAGUCGUCAGAUUUGGCAUAUGGACUUCUGGAGUCGUAGUAGGCUUUCUUGUGGGCCCCCGGCUGGGCCGCAACGGGUAUACUCGAGUCGAGUACAUGGUUAGUCAUAACCAUGUCAGUAGCCCCCAAGUGCCUAGUUGAGUCGAAGACUUGAGUAGGGACUUCCCCGAAAAGAUGAAGCUUCAAGUAGCUGUUGAGACAGUUGCAUAAUGCUGUAGACUCGGUAUUUCAUCGAGUUAAACUUCGAAUGAGAAGUGUUUCGACUCAGAGAUGGUCUGAGCCAAUGUUUUAGUGUUCGAUUGUUAAGCAACAGUUUCACAAUUGGAUUUUGACAGUACGUUAAAUCAAAUAAAUUUGAUCAAAAUGUAGCAAUUGGGAAUCAUAGGGAUAUAUGCUUAAUGUUCCAGGAUACUCGAGAACUCGAGUCCAAUUAAUUGCUCUAGGGCAGUGUUCGAGUCCCUGGGCUCGAAGCUGGCAACUGACAAAAUUCGACUUGACCCGUGAGGAUUUACAGAGCCGAAUCCCAGUUUUAAGUGCUCGACUCGAUGGCCAAAAUUAUAGUAAUUGUAUGUACUGAAAGACGUAGCUGGUACGUUUUCAGGCCCUAUAGUAAGCCUAUGGUUCUUAUUUUCACGUAAUGAGCGUGGAUUAGGGAGCGAUCCUUACAUGAGAAUUUUUACUGGAGGAUGCAGUCGUUGCAUAUUCAGGACUCGUUACAGGGCUUACCUUCAUGCAAUGAGCAUGGAUUCAACUGGAAUAGCGUAGCCGGUACAAUUUCAAGCCCGAUAGAGAAUCUAUGGGUCAUACCUUCGUGCAAUGAGCAUGGAUAUACUGAAAUAACGCAGCUGGUAUGACUUCAGGCUCUGUGGAUAAGAUCCAUGAGGCUUAUCUUCAUGCAAUGAGCAUGAGCAAACUAUAAUAACGCAGCUGGUGCGACUCCAGGCUCUAUGGAUAAGAUCCAUGAGGUUUACUGUCAUGCAAUGAGCAUGAAUUACUGUGGUGACGCAGCUGGUGUGACUCAGUUGUGUCGACUGCAGUCAGUCGACUCUUAUAUCAUGGACAUGGAUUUGGGUUUACCUGCUUAGGUAAAGGUAACCUUGACGUGGUUAUGACCGCUCGGGUCCUCAUCUUUGACAUAGCCACUACGGCCCAGCAUGAAGCCCACUCGGGAGCCUACAAUGACUUCAGGAGUUUUGAUGCCUAAUUUUGCGAUUCAAGAUAAGAAAACUUAAACAUAGUAUAUCUUUAUGAUGUAACGGACUUAGAAUGUACCCGAGACUUGGGUUCCUGCAUAUAUAAAGGACCAGGAGGGGAGCCAAGGAGAACAACCCUUUCCCCUGAGACAGAUCUCAUCUCCCAUACACGUCAGAUUCGAUCUGCGCACCUUGUAAUCUCUCAAUCAAUAUCACAUCAGACAAGCAGGACGAAGGGGUAUUAUGUUUCGUUGGCCCCGAACCUGGGUAAAACUGCGUACCCUGUGUCCGACGGAAUCGCCAGCAUACACAUGUCGCUCUCUCUAAACACAAAGCCUCUCAACGUGGACAUUGCCGAAGUGGAAAUUUGUCAUUCGUCAAUGGCGUCUUCCGUGGGAUGUGUUGGGCUCACGGUUCCGACAGGCUCAUCAUCAGUCGGCAACUCGUCGGCUCUGGAGGAGCCGUCCGAUCUACCAAAUCAAGAUUGAAGACAAGCAAUCGAGUGAACUCGUGAAGCUACCGAUUGAAGCAUCAACCGGUUGUGGCGACGACGUCUACGACAACAUGGAUCCGAUCAUGAUACGGGAAUCCGGCCGCACCGACUCAUGCGGCACUGAUCAGCCGCCUCCGCAAAUUCCAGUCCAAAGGAUCUGAGGAAGGAAAAGCAAAUCAAGUGUUACCCACACGUGUACAUGCGGCAAGCCGCACCGAUACCAACUCCAUUAGCACAUAAGCUGGCACCACAUGCGCAUGCAUGGAAGCAAUUUGCAGCCGCCCAUUGGGCCGGUCAAGCAGCCUCGCGUGAGAUUCAACGUGCUUGGAGACUAGUACAAGGAGACAAGAAAAAAGGGAGAUCGAUCCCACCUCUCAAUAUUUAUCUAUUUUGCUAAUUACGUGCAGAAACUUAAUCUUGUUUUGCACAGAGUGACCAAACUUUGCAGCAGUCGGACGCCUAUCGGUUUAUCCAAAGUAUGCCGGCAUAUCCGAUCUGUCGUCAGCGUGAAACCUCUGAUCGAUCGAAUCAAAGCUUCUAUCUCCGGGAUCGAUCGGUCUCCCCGUGUGCUUGGGGACGUGAGCCAAGGCCCACACAAAUUUCAAGAGCAAAAAAAGGAAGUCCUAAUAUAAACACGCAAAAAACUUUCCAUCUUUAUUUUCCUAAUCACAUGCAGCCAUGCACCAGGAAGAGCAAGCAAAGAUUUGAAAAGCGAUAUGCUUUCCUGACUUCUCACCAAGCAAAUCAAUCAUCAGAUCGGUACACCAAGGAAAGUAUGUUUACAAUCAGAUUCCUAUGCUAAUUGAUUUGCUGUCUUUAGGCACACGUGCAGUGAAACGUCGGCGACUCCUUCGAGCAAAAAAAAACUCUGCUUGAUAGGCACCAAGCAAGUCCAUCAGCGACCAAGACGCUGAGACGCCACUUCGCCUUGGCCGCACCCCACACUCGGCUACAACAGCCGCGAACGAAUCGGCGAGACGGUAACAUCUGCUUCGUUGCCAACGGCACGCCGACUGCAUCACAGCCCGCAAAAAUCUUCAUCACGCUCGGUCUACGUCGACUUUCCGAGCCCACCCCACGCAGCACACGCGUUCGUCGGCUAGAUCAAUACGACUAUGGGACAGACACCUCCAUCCACUACUCCUCCACGGGAAGUCAGCUUCCCCACGUCAUGUAUCAAAACCGAAUCAACCGGCGGCAGCACGCGUGCGGGCAUACCCGAGGGGCAGACGGUGAUUUGUAUUUUGCUGUAGAGUAGGUUCUACCGGGUGCGCGACCAGCGCUCCCGGUGGGAGUAGCCUCCAAGUCCGGUUGCGACUGUGUGCAGUGGCGAUCGGACUUUCAAUUGUAAUCUAGUAACCUUGUAACCUUGUGAGGCUUUUGUUUUUGGAAACAAACAGUCUCUGUUGUUUUGACUCCGAGUCGAAUUCUGAUUACCUGAAGACGAACUUUGAUCGGACUCCAAAUACUCCCGGUGGGAGUAGCCCCUGAGCCUUUAAAAAUGCGACUGGCAGAUUAACGGGUAGAUCUCCUGUGGGAAAGGAUGGAUUUCUUAGAUGAACUUGAGAUUAUGCACAUUUGUCUGAGACAUGCCGAACGCCAACUUGUGCUAGCACAGGAUGAAAUUUCCAUGCUCUGGUUAGAAAAUCAAGCUGCGCCAGGGCGAGAAGACUUCCUUCUUGGAGAGAUGGUGAAACUGAGUGCUAACUUGCGAGGUAACUGCUUGCUCCUAUGGUUGAAAAGUUGUGAUAGCCGGAUCUCUUGCUGACUUUGACUUGUUUCUUUUUGUAGAAAUGAUGCCAGAACCGUAUGUUGAAGCUUAGCGUGUGAAGAGUCGUCUUGAUGCAAUAACACAGUCUGGUCCCAUGGCCCCAGCCUUCUAGUCCAACCGUGACAAGGGUUAGAUCCUUGCAUUGCUACAAGAUCGAGCUGCAAGAGCUGUGACUUGUCUGAAGUCCUGUAGCCACUGCAUGAUUGAAGUGCACCAUAACUUGUUUCCAGAAUUGCCCGUUCCGGUGGAUCUGAAAGGUUUGAUCGAGAGAUUCUACGAGGGUGCUGUGGUGAGGGAGGCUACGCACGAACAAUGGAGGAAAGGGCAGUGCUGGCCCCGUUUUGUUCGGCUCCGCUACCCCUCAUUGAACUUAGAUUUUCUGCACCUCACUCCUUCCUCUGUGCCAGAUGAUGCUCAGCUGGGUCCGAUUUAUGAUGCAAUGGAGCAUACGGCGCGCCAACUGGUCACCCUCAUGGCUUUGGAGUAGGGUAGUCCUUUUUUCAUCCGUUGUAGAUGUAGGUGUAGUGGUGUCAGUAGUAUGUCUUGCAUGCCUUUCGGGUUGAAGAACGCGAGCUCGACAUUUCAGCGUGCUUUACGCGAGUGUCUGGGACCCUAGCUAGGCCACAACAUUGAGGCCUACAUGGACGAUAUUGUCGUCAACUCGAGGCGUGGGGACUCGCUCAUCGGCGACCUGCAGGAGACGUUUGACAACCUCCGCAGGAUCAAGCUCAAGCUCAACCCCAAGAAGUGCACGUUUGGCAUGAACUCGGGGCACCUGCUGGGCUUCUUGGUAUCUCACCGAGGAAUCGAGGCCAAUCCACAGAAGAUCGAAGCGAUCGAGAAGAUGGAGGCACCCCGCAAGGUCAGAGAUGUCCAGCACCUCAAGGCUGCGUUGCGGCGCUCGGGCGUUUCAUUACAAGGCUUGGCGAGCGAGCCCUGCCUUUCUUCAAGUUGAUGAAGAAGAAGGGUCCAAUCAAUUGGACCCCUGAGGUGGAAGCAGCGUUCUAGGGCCUGAAGCAAUAGCUGAAGUCGCCGCCGAUCCUCGCCGCUCCUAAGUCGGGCGUGCCACUGCUGCUCUACUUGGCAUCGACGGACCAGGUGGUGAGCUUCGUGUUCGUCGCCGAAAGGGAAGAAGAAGUCCCGGGGGCUGAAGUAGUAGGGCAGCGGGCUGCCAGAGAUUCUGGGCAACCCCCGGCAACCACUGCAACCCCGGGAACAGAGGGGCAGCCGGCUCAAGCUGCCACCCGCAAGCAGCUAGUGCAGCACCCCGUGUACUUCGUAAGCACGAUGUUGCGCGACGCCCGGGUACGAUACCCGCAGGUCCAGAAGUUUUUGCUUGGGAUCCUGCUCGCUUCACGGAAGCUGCGCCACCAUUUCCAGGCGCAUAGCAUCACGGUGGUGUCUGGGUUCUACCUAGAGCGAGCCCUCACUAACAGUGAAGCCACUGGAAGGGUGGCCGAGUGGAGAAUGAAGCUGGCGCGGAGUUUGGACUAUGUUUCGCAAAGACCAAGAGCAUCAAGAGUGCCGCUCUCGCUGACUUCGUCGCGGAGUGGACAUCAACGGGCAUAGAUGAAGAAGAGCCGGAAGCAAGCCUUCCCGGCAAUCUAGAUGAAGGGUACUGGGUCAUGUACUUCGACGACGCCUUCAGCUUGCAGGGCGCCGGUGCUAGAGUAGUGAUCGAGUCGCCCACAGGAGAUCUACUCAAGUUCGUGAUCCAGCUCGACUUCGCCAACUCCACCAACAACACUGCAGAGUACGACGGAUUGCUAGCCGGGCUGCGCGAGGCUAUCGCCCUCGACAUCAAGCGCCUGGUAGUUCGCGGGGACUCCCAACUCGUGAUCAACCAGGUGAAUAAGGACUACGACUGUUCCCAGAUGGCAGCGUACGUGGAAGAAGUGCGAAAUCUUGAGUCCAAGUUCAAGGGGCUACGGUUUGAGCACGUCAAGCGCAAGGACAACUUUGGUGCGGAUGAGCUGUCCAAAUGGUCAGCGGAAUGCAGCAAGGUUCCUGCUGGGGUAUUCAUGCAAGGCAGUCAAAGCCCUCUGUCGAUCCCAAGUCGGAUGCCGGGGAAGCCCCUCUGGCACCCCAAGGAGACCCCGCAGCUACGGGGCACCAUGCCACUGAUCUUGUGGCAUGCUUGAGCCAGGUACCACCACCUUGGGCUGCGGAUAUCAUCCGCUGCCUCUGGGAGGGGGCCCUUCCGGGAGAAAACAUUGUCGCGGAACGAGUGGCCCGGCAAACGAAGAUGUACGCUCUAGUAGAAUGGGAUCUCUACCGGAGGCGUGAAAAUGGAGCCAUGCUCCUCUGCGUGUCCUAGGAAGAAGGGCGCACGUUGCUGGAGGAUAUCCACCGAGCCACAUGCUCGCAUCAUGUGGCCUCUAGGACACUGGCUAGGAAAGCGUUUCAAGACCUGUGAAGCUUGUCAGUUUCACGCCAAGAAAGGGCAGCCGGCUCGAGCCCUAUAAGUCAUCCCGUCCUCGUGGCCGUUUGCGGUCUGGGGUUUGGACAUCGUCGACAAGAUGCCGAGAGCUGGCAGCGGCUAUGAGUACAUUCUGGUGGACAUUGAUAAGUUCUCCAAGUGGGUCGAGGUGGAGCCUGUGCGAGCUGUCACAGCGCAGGCGGCCAUUAAGUUCUUCAACGGCAUUGUGUGCCGGUUUGGUGUGCCCAACGACACCAUCACCGACAAUGGCACGCAAUUUACCAAUGCGGUGUUCAAAGCUUACUGCGAGGACAUGGAUACUAAGAUCCAAUUCGCAUCUGUCGCUCACCCAAGGAGCAACAGGCAGGUGGAGCGCGCAAACACAGAAGUGUUGCGGGGGCUCAAGACGAGAACCUUUGAGAAGCUCAAGGGCCGCGGGAGGAACUAGGUUGAAGAACUCCAGCCCGUGCUGUGGUCGAUCAGGACCACGCCAAGUCGGGUGACGGGCCAACUCCGUUUGCCCUCGUCUAUGGGGCAGAAGCAUUGCUGCCCCUCGAGCUCAAGCAUGGGUCACCUCGGGUACGCGCGUACGGCGACGAGAGCCAAUAUGCGCAGAGGAUUGCCGACCUCAGCUUCAUCGAGGAGAUUCGAUGACGGGUUGCUGUGCGAGCUACAAGCUACCAGCAAGGGCUCCGUCGUUACCACGAAGGAGAGUCCGUCCCCAGGGGCUCGAGGUUGGAGACUCGUCCUGCGCCAGAUACAAGGAACGAAGGCUGGGAACAAGUUGACUCCAAACCUGGAUGGCCCUUUCCGGGUAGUGCAAGUGACCAGACCGGGGGCUGUCCGGCUGGAAAAUGAAGAAGGCUUGCCGGUGCCAAAUAGAUGGAAUAUUAAGCACCUACGCAAGUUAAACCCAUGAAACGGUGGUGCCUUACCCACGGGUGACGCUGCUGCAUCAUUCCUCUUUAGCUAGUGUAGCCGGGCAAGGCCCGAUUGUAAUCCACUAGAAAAAUGUGUAUAAAGAUAAGUGUUGCUUCAAUCAAUGGUCUAUUUUCCUUUUAAUAUUGGCUUCUGUCUCCUGCUCUAGGAGCACAGAAUUGGCUCCUCAUCCUUGGCUGUGAGCAGGGGGCUGCGGGAACCCUGAAAACUAUGCUCGUUGCCGGGCUUUCCCAGAACGAGGCCGAACCAUUGCCGGACCAGUCCGCAGCGUGUACCGUGCCCGCCCGCGAGGCACCCAGGAAAUAUGAGAGUGCUCACACCCAAGUCUGAGGUCGACUCAUCUGUGCCGGAGGUUAUCUAGUGUAUGCUAUUUUUCGAAAUGUUGUAUGCUAUUUCUCGUGCAUUUUGAAAUUUUUGUUGUGCACCUUAGGCGUCGCAAGAAUCUGACGUGGUGCUCGUGGGGGCGGUCACGGGUGUCGUUGUUUUGCGAGUAAGUUGGUAUGGCAAUUGCUUCGAGGUUUGAUGCAGGAAACUGAGACAAGGCCAGUGCCUCCACGUGUACGCUGGCGGAACGGCGUGCGUGGCGGCAAGGGCAGCGCUUCGCCUAUAUAAAGACCGGAGCAAGCGCAUUCACAACCACGGCGGUGAAGACAAGGGGUGUCUCGAUGACACAUCAGUGAUCUUCUGCUUGACAGCCUCGGUCGUCAGGCGGAGAUUGCUGGUGUGGCACCGGGGCUCUCCCUUACCGGAACCAGCAUAUUAGAAACAAGCAAGGGGUGUCUCAGCGACAUAUUAGUAAUUUUCUACCUGACGACCUCGGUCUUUAGGCGAAGAUUGCUGGUGUGGCACUGAGGCUCUCCCUUACCGGAAGUGACAUACUAGCUAAGUACUUUGCCUAGCGAUUGUUACCUUGCUCUUUUUUGGCAUUGGCAUGCAAGGUAGGCUCGUUUCUUUAUGUGGCUAGAGUGUAGGAAGGACACUUGUGGGGGGAGUACGCUCCUCGUGCGAGUUCGCGGGUUCGUCCUGGACCUGCAUGCUUGGGAGUAGUUAACCUGUAAGCGGAGUGGCUGGCCGCUGCUGUCUGGCCCCAGGUCGGCACCGCAGGUCCGUCCUGGGUCCCUGGCCCGGCUAGGCAUGUAGUUGGCGAGUCCCCGGAAACACAAGGCAUAACACGUAAAGAACAGAGUAACACUACCCGGCAAGCCAGUUAUGAGCAAAGAUGAUGAGGACAUCCCAGCCAUCUAUACUACACCAACAAUCAAAGGACCUAUCACACGAAGUCGUGCCAAACUGAUAAGCGAUCAGGUGAACACUAAAUUAAGUUUAUCUCACAACUUUAGUGAUAUGGCUAUACUUUCAUCUCCAUUGUUGUUGGUUGAACUCAGGUACACUGCUGAGGAAACCCAUCAACCUAUGAGCUCUUGAAGAAACCAAGUGAAGAAACACUACUCCAGAAAACCCCUCCAGUGGCGGUCAAAAAAUGGGGUUGGUGGUGGUGAUCACGCCCGCCACCAACUCCGCGUCACUGGAGAUUUUGGCACCGGUGGCGGGUGAAAUGCCCGCCACUGCUGCUCCGAGAUCCCCAACGGCGGGUAAAAUACCCGCCACCGAAGACACACAAACCGCCACUAUAAAUCCCUCCGGCACCAACCGAAAAGUGCGUGGAGUACAUCAGUGGUGGGCGAAGAACCCGCCACUGGACAUUUUCAAGUGGCGGUCUAUGGCCACCAUCACCAGAACCUUUUCCGGUGGCGGUGGUGUCUAACCGCCACUGCUAUGUGUUCAGUGGCGGUAGCUUUUAACCACCACUGGUACUAUUUUUUUCUGAAAAAAAUAAAUGAAUUAUAUUUAUAAAAGUAAAUAUUCUUGUAGCAGAGAAAUAGCAGAAAUACAGCACAACACAGAUAAUACCAGGAAUACAACAGCACAAUAUACAACACCAAAGAAACAGAAAUAGCAGCAAAUAUAUUACAAAGUUCCACACGAGUUAAACAUUCAAGUCACAUGCAUAUGUAUACAAAGUGUUUGAAAGAAUGAGCCACAAAUAAAAGUAUUCCACACAAUUUAGCCACUUUUGGUGACAAUCCCGCCGCCGUAGUAAUCCCUGCUCGAUUUGAGGACCUCCUUGUUGAGGAUUUCGCCGAUGUCCUUCUGGAUCUCGUACACGAGAAUUUUAGAGUUGUGCCCUAACUCGGCGUUGGCCAGAAACCAAUUCCUCACUUCUUUGAAGGUCUUCUUCCCCUUCGGUUUGAAGUCAUUGAUCAUCUGCUGAAUAGUGUGCGCGCAGUAGUAACCGCAGGAGACGGAUCCUUCAGGCUGUUGCUCGCAGGGGAAGUUGAAAUUGUGCCUGAGGGGAGCGUCAGGAUUGCGGCUGAAGCCAGUCAUCUCGUACCAUUUCACCGCGUCGCGAUAGGCUGAGUCGAUGACAUAUUUGAUCGGCCCAAAGUCGCGUUGUGGUUCGUUCCCCUUGCGUCUUAGUGUAUCAAAAUAUGUGACCCCUCCCAUAUCGAGGCAGAUGGCGAUUGUCACCCAAUGGCCGCUGUUUCACAAAAAGACGCACAUUGUAUUAGCCAAAUAAUAUAACAAGCAAGUCUUCCGACGGAAAAAGAUUUAUGUAUUCACGCGAAUUGAAAACAACUUACUGUAGAUGGUACAAUAUCAUUAUGAAAUGGUGGUCUCUGUGCUUCAAGAUGAAUUGAGUGAGGUAUUCAAUCGCCAACCUUCUACUUUCGGCCAACAAUGGGUCUGGACCAAGCAAAGUGGCGUUGAAGAGUAGGGGGUCGGCGAUGGCCAUCCCAUAUUGCUUCACCCUAUAGGCCUCCCUCGUGUAGUGUACACACCACAAUCUUAAUAUGGCGUUGUUGAGGCACUUGCGGUUGAAGAGAUGAAACAAGUCGAGGAAGUCAAUGCCGAAGGUAACGUCGUUUUCCUUCUCGAUUUCCCCCAUAUUGGAGUCGAAGAAGCCAUAAUGCUUUGGCACUCGAACCCUGAUUUCCAGAUUCUGGAGGUCUGCGCCUGAUGAUGCCACAUUCAUGUAUUUAUCAUGAAGCUCUUGCAUCUCCCGUGGCAGGCGAUACAUGUCAUCCUGGGUCACCAUCGGUUCUCCGGGGUGGAACAACAAAAAUUGGGAGAAUCGCAUGUCCACGAAAUAAGACCCAUCAGGCAAUCUAUCUCCAACACGGGGGUGGGUGGGCAUCUUCAGAAUGUCUGCCACUCUUCCCAAAUUCCUUCUAUCUGCGGCGCGGUCUUUGGUUGUCUUCCCGUAGAAGACGACUGUUUCCCCUCCUUGGAGGAGCCCUUGCUUGCCUUGCCGCCUGUCCCCUUUUUGUUUUUCAUGCGUCUCAGGAAAUCGGAACUGUCCGGUUUCUGGGGGACCUGCAUCCCAACAGGGCACUUGGACGGCUCUCCAACAGGGCUGAUUGUGCUGCGGCUCUCCGAGGGACGGGUCUUGGUGCGGAUGGAUUCGGGGCUUCGGGUUUGGGCGGCGACGGAGGAUUUUUGCCUGCAUUGUCGUCGCCGCACUCCGCCGCAGGUGAGAAGUCUCGUUCCGUGGGCUCGUAGUCGAAAGGACCGGGUGAGGCGCCAAGCAGCGAUGGAGACGUCACGAGCCGGGCGGGUGGAGACGGACAGAGGGGGGGACGGAGAUGGAGAUGGCUCCGUAGCGAGGACCACCAACCUCCUAGGCCAGGUGAGGUAGGAGUUGACGCAAUCCCUUAGGGUCGUCGCCUCUUCGUGCGGAGGAUAAGGGACCGGUUCGUCCUCGAAGCCCCUAAGCACGGGGUCCACCUGCACCCUGACCAUGUCGUCUCGGAGGGUCACGUGGUGCACCACGGCCGUACGCGGCAUCAGCAACCCGCGCGCGCCUAGAGGGUUCCCCACCGUCGGGAUGUGUAGCCGGCAUUUGACGCCCUUCUGCGCAUGACAAACAUGGCAACAUCAUUAAUGGAUUGGAGCAUGAUAGUGGUAUUUCACAAUUUUUCGUAGCGCGCGAAGACGCUUACCGUGAGGUUCUUGUCGGGUGCCCCAAGCAGGUCAAGCUGGCACUCGGUGCCGGAGCAUGAGGUGCUCUUAUUCUGCAGCGGGGAUGGAUCCGAUGCGGGUGGGGUUGGUUGGAUGGGCGCCUCCGGGAAAACACCGUGAUCGAUGAAGUUGUCGACGUCAUGCUGGUCCCUUGCAAGCCGCAUGAGCUUCCUAAGCUCCUCCCUCGCCAACACCCGGAUCUUCUCAUCUAGUUUCUCUGAGCUCUGUUUUUUGCUGGACGCCUUUCUGCGUUUGCAGAAACCUUCCUCUUUUGCCAUCUGCCUGCGAAAGGGCCCGGAACCGACACCUCGCAUAUGGCCCCCGUGCUCAUUUCGUUGCAGAGCGUAACUGAUGGCAUCAUCCCACUGUUGGUUGAUAGACGAGUGGACGGCCGAAGCACAAAGCUGAAGACAGAGCUCUGGAAAGAGAAGCUGAAGCACAAAGCAUCUACGGGCUUUCCAAAAUUUGCAUUCGCCCACCGGCCGCCAUCCAUUUAGCUGUCUCGCACUAGGCCUCCUUCCUCAAGUAUUGCUGAAGACAUCACUUACUAUUUGCUCAAACAAUCUUACUACCCACUCAAAGAGUCAGGAAGAACGUUGUACCCUGCCACUUGAAAAAUCAACAUAAUCAACUUAUCCAUAGAAGCACCUGCCAGUAUCAUAAAUACUAGAUCAACUAGCAUUGCAACAUCCGGCUAGAUGUAUAAGAAAAGUUGAAACUAGAGACCUCAGACUUUAACUUGAGCUUUGUCCCAAACUGAAGUUCAUUAUACAAUAAUAAUCGAAACUUGUCCCGAAUUGAAUCCGAACCAUUGUACGAAAAUAACUAGACCUCCUUGUACAAAAUAACCAGAGACAUCAAACUUAAUUUAAUCAGUCAAUAAAUCUAAUGUCCCAAAUUUCAGAACCAAAACUCGUUGUUUCCCUCAAUAAACCUCAUUAUAAAAACUAACUAGAGACCACAAACUUAACCAAUUUAUAAAAUCCAAGGUCCCAAAUUUUAGAAUCAGAACCUGAUGUUCCCCAAAAUAGACAACAAGCAAGCCUCCGAAGGUCGGAGCCUUCCUAUGUCAUUGAGACCCUUUCUCACAGUUAUAGACCAUUGAGAAUCAUGGAAAAUAAAUUUGAAACACAGUAAGCAUUGCAUUCUUAAUAAUCUAAACUUGAUCCAACAUGAUAUUUCUCAUGGCUGAUACACUUAAUCGCAAGACAAGUCAAAACACGAGCAUACAGAAAACAAGGUCCAUCGUCAUCCAGCAAGCAUUCAGGGGCAGCAUGAACGACGUACCGGGUGGCGUCUGCGGCGGCAGGCGGCAAGUACAGGAGCAGCAAAAUGAAAUGUAGCUGAAUCCUGGCUCCCUUGUAUAUUGAUUUUUUUAACUUUAUCGGGAGUUUUGCCUGUAACCUUCAUUGCGCUGUAAUUGAAAGAAGGCCGCGAAUUAAAAUCACAUGAAGAAUGAUUAUCACAACUACUCCAUAAAAUGAAUCUGGAUUUAACCAAAAUAUGGUAAACUUAAAUCAAGUAUGAACAUCAUCAACCGUCCUGUAAAUCUACAGAUCAUCAUGCAAGAAAAUAAAACAAAAUUAGAUACAAGGAAGAUCAAGGAUAGUAAAAAUGAAGAAUCAGAAAUAAUGAGAGGAAAGAUAAAUCUUAACAAUCUAUGUAAACCACGGCCAGAAUUUGGAACAUAAGCAUUCACCAAGUAGAAAUAAUCAAACUCCAAAGUGAUAACAUGCCCUCCUGAUCAUGUUCUGCUAAGCCAAUUUUGUAUUGUCCGUAGAUUAGUCUUACCUAUGCUAUGAGGGCAAUGGAUAUACAGCCUAAAUCAUGCCAUUGUCUACUUUGCACUAAUGCUGCAUUGCACCGAACAAGUAUGCAAGGGUGAAAUCAUCCAGAGUCAAACAUGAGAGAAUCAUGCUUACCAUGCAGUUUUACUGGCGGAGAGGCGGUGAUGCAGGGGAAGAGCUCACUGGAGCAGGAGGUGGAGGAGAUAUCACCAGCAGCGAACCCAUUGGAGCAAGAACUCACUGGAGGAAAAGGUUCACUUAUUCCUCGAGCUCGCACGAAACACACUGAUGGUCAUGUGGUCUGCACUCAUGACCAAUGUAAAUUCAAUAAUACACAUAGUCAGGCAAGGGAAAAACUAAUCAUUGAAUGCAAAUAUGAUAAUCUGAGUACAAUAUAAAAUUCAUAACCAUCCUACUGUCAAUGUUUCAGUACCACUGUGUGUAUUGUUUUGAGCACAAUGCCCAGAUUUGAUGAGGGUAUUUAUAUAUGACUAGCAUAAACUCCAAAGGAUGGCAGGUUGUUUAGCUAAUUACUGUACCUGAGAGUCAUUUGCUUCUGAACCGCUAUUUGUGAAGAAUACCUUUCCCAUUUCCCUUGCAGUGAACAUGUUCAGAAUAUCAUUUGCAAGAUCCUGAAAGAAACAGAGCGUUAAUCAUCAAUUUCAUUGAAGCAAAUUUUCAAUAAACAAAAUUUUCCUUUCUAAGUGGUAGAAUCAUUUCAAACAGGAUAUCAUCAACAAGAAAAAUACAUACUCUACAAUUUAAAUAACAAGGAAGUACUGAUGAGGAUACUGGAAGACCAAAGCUCACUGAAAGAAUAAAGAAUGUACCAGUGAGGGUUUGGUAGUACGAUUCCAGAACGAAUGGUAGAAGGAUAAUUUCUUUAAUUGGUCUGUUGCAGCUUUCACAAGUCGAGGUUCGUUACCACCUGAACACAAUGCAACCAGUAAGCUAGAAAAAAUGUCUAAAACCAUCUGUAAAAUGUAGCACUGGGAAAUUAACGGUGACCACAAGCUGUAAUGGACAAAUAUAUAUAUAUUUUCCUCAUACAUGAUGACUCCAUGAAAAUCUUUGCUAGAUGCAUGAUACACAUUAGAUACUAGAAAUAAACUACAACUUUGCUCUGUAGAAAUCUAGAAAAACAAAAUCCUUCCAGGAAUGCAAAACAGGAAAAUAGUGUAAUGAUAGCACCAGAUUUCAAAUUAAUGCUAAAACUGAACAAGAAAGUAGUUUCAAAUUUUUGCUCAAACUGAACAAGAAAGUAGUAAUUCUCUUGUUCAUUCUGGCACUAUUGUGAACUAUCGAAACUUAAAGUAGGAAUAGCCUGUCCUUUAAAAAAAAUGUGAUUAGUCAAUAAGGUAGCUCUUAAUAGUUCCGAUUUUAAUUUCUGACAAAGUAUUAAGUGAUUCUUUCACACAUCACUUUUUAUACUUCUGCUAAUCCAGAAGUGAUCAGUGCGCAACACCUACAUUACCUGGUAAUUACUUAAAUACCUGUCAAAGCUCGUUAGAUUGCAACGACUUUUGAGUCUAAAAUCUAAAUUUGGCUACCUAUCUACUGCACUAAGACAGUGAAGAAAUAAUAGGUGAUACAACUCACAUUAUCUAAAUAAUGCAACAAAUUUCAGGUAUAUCAUAAAAUAUAUCUCUAUAGAUUGCACAUUGCACAUACCUAGAGCUGCACACCACAGUCCCGCAAGAGCAUCUAUAUACUUUUUCCCAUUUAUAUCAUAAGCAUAAGCACCCUGUAAUGUGUUCUGCAUAAUGUAAAGGUAAAACAUACAAUCAUAUCCUGACAAGCCAAACCGGCUCGCUGCGCAUAUGGGAGUAUUUUUCUUUCAUGUAAACAUGUCCAUGAGCAGCAGAAGAAACUCCCCAGAUUUCAAGUGUUUUGUUGUUUCUACUUGUGAGACGACGAUUAGAUCAUGGAAAAGCAAUCUUCUCAGGGCGUCGUAGAUCAAAUGGUAAAUCAGCAAAUUUAUACUAACAGUGAGUGCCAUAGUCAGCAGAAUAAUAACUACACGAAUCACGCAAAUGAAGUUGGCUUUAGCAAAAAAAAGUAAGGAACGAUGAACACAUCUCUCAUAGGCAUUCUGCCGAACAGGUGACAUACAUGAACAUGAGUUUCUCACCUUAACAGUAGAUGAGUGCGGGCGGUCGUGCAGCUCGUCGAACAAGUCGGUGAAGGGAAGAUGAGGACCUGCGGCUGUGCAAAUCGUUGCAAAAUUAGCUUGCAGUGCAGUAAAAUUAAUCUCAGAAAAUUAAUCAUGGAGCUCUUACUCGGCGGCAGGGCAGCGGCUCAGGGGGUCGGAGGUCGUGCUGCAGGUGCAGGAGGGCCCCUCGACGGUCGAGCCGUGCGAAGCCGCUGCCGGCCGGAGUGAAGUGGAGGGAGAGUCGGCUUCGCCGGAGGAGAUUUAACCACUGGGACGAGCUUCUUCACCGGAGGAGAGAGAAUCACCUGUAUGCUCUUGGCCUGAGGGAGGGAGAGAGAGAGAGACGGCUGCUGCCGCCGGUGGAUAUCAAGGGCUCGGGUCUGCUCCUCCGUGGACGGCCGCGCCGUCAAAAUCAGAACUGAGCUCGCGGUAAGCUGCUUGUCGCCCCUUCCGUCGUCGAUGAACGCCGAAGCACAGCUGCCGCCGACCACUCACCGCCGGAAAUCCGACGGAAGCAGCUGCCGCCUACGCUCGUCCCGCUCGCCGCUCGCCAACGGGACCCCGAAUCGACUGGAACCGCAAUUAUGAGUGGAUAGGUGGGCACGCGAGAGUAGCUCGGGAGAAAUUUAUUUAAAAAAUUACAUCGCCUGGGGCGUCUGGCUCGGUGCCUCGGUCGAAUGGCCAGGGUUGUCCGGUCGUCCGGCUGGUUAGACUGACCAGGGUGAAGAAUAGUCUUGCCCAGGGUAUCUAAUAGAGUUUCUAUUAGAUAUACGAGCACGAAUUAAAACGGUCGUCUAUUUGGAAGUCAAGUUAUCUCACUCUCAACGACGGAAUAAAUGUUGAAAUAAUAUUUGCACAUGAGGAUGUCACGUUAUCCUCUUCUCGAAUAUUUGAAACUUCUUCUUGAAAACAAAAUUAAUAUGUCAAAAUAAAAAUCGACAAAACGUAGGUGCAUCAUUAAAUAUGUUUCCAACCUUAUAACUAGGAAAGUCAUAUUAUUCCCUCUCUUUAACAUUUAAGUAAACGUUGGAAAUCAUUUCUAAUUGAUUCAAAUAUUCCAACGAUGCUCUCAAAUGGUCAUGGCAUCCAAAUUGCAAACUUAGUGUGCUAAUAAAUCCUUCAAAAAAAAUAGGAUUUAUUAAGAUGCGAAUAAUAGUCCAGAUAGAAACAUAAUAUAAAAAUGGUUCCAAAUAAAAUACUUUGAACUUAUAUAAAUCUCCCAACCAUGUUAUAUAAUUUGGAUAGUCAUAUUAAUCCACUCUUUUGUUGAAUAUUCAAACAUGGUGUGGAAAAAUUUAAAUAGGUCCUAAAAAUUUCAAAUCCUUCAGAAAUUCACAACCAAAAUAUUUUCAAAGCCAAUUUUUUUAUUUAAAAUAAUUAUUUUGUUUAACAUUCCAAAAUGGGAAAAUUCGGAGAUGUUACAGCUGCUGCCUAUGGAAAUGAUGGUCGUCACCCCCGUCGUGACAGAGAUGAUAGAGAUAACACCGCAAGAAUCAAGUUCCAAGUUCCCAAGUUUACCGGAAAGGAAGAUGCAGAUGCUUAUUUUGAUUGGGAAGAACAAUGUGAUCAGAUUUUUCGCAUCCACAAUCUUCAUGAUCUAAAGAGGAUGAACCUUGCUUGUGUUGAGUUCUCUGGUUAUGCACUCACUUGGUGGAAUCAGCUACAAGAGAAUCAACUAUUGUUGGGUCGAGAUCACAUUAGUACUUGGGGAGAGAUGAAGCAAGCCAUGCAGCGACGGUUUGUUCCAUCACAGUACCAUAGAGAUCUUCGGAACAGAUUGCAACGGCUCACCCAAGGUUCUCGCACAGUGGAUGAGUACUAAGGAGAUGGAGUCACUUUUAGUUUGUGCUCGUAUACAUGAAGAUGAAGAGUCCAAGAUGACUAGAUUUUGCAUGGUCUCAACUCUGAAAUUUCAGACUUUGUGGAGAUGUUUCUCUAUAACACUCUACAAGAUGUUUUGGAGCAAGCAAAGUGCACAGAGAGGAAGGUGCAGCGGAGUGG
rnacentral:lncRNA from 1 species